GCAGGGGAAGGAGGUGCUAACCUCACGUUCCCCGAGAUGCAUGGGAGGCUUCACAAUCUCGGGGCGACCUCCUGUGGGAGGAUGCGCCCAAGACCCGGGAAAGCCGGAUGGUGCCGUGGCUCCUAGUUCCGUUUCAGUAGACCAGUGUUUCGUAUAUUAGUCUGCUGAUCUCCGGCUAGUGUCGAUUCGAGUGGGUCCAAGUGUACAACCCCUGCAGGGUGAAAACUAUACGUAUAGCCGCGUCCUCGGUCAUGGACAUCCCUACUCCUCUGUUGCUCUUAUUAGUUAGUGUUACUCAUGAUUUCUACCUCCCUCUAGUUUGACUUCCUGCCAGGGGGCAGCUGAGAUGCGAGGAGAGGGAGUCCUCGCAUCGACUUGGUGGUUUGGAAGGUGUGCGUUGACCGGGAGUCCGGGAUACCGGAAGGGCCCGAGUCGGAAUUGGAAGGAGAAGUGUAUACUUACUUAUAUAUAUAUUGCAUGCAUAGGAAAUCCCAACUUUACCUCUUGAACAUUGAUACAUCCAUAGUGUAGACCAUAAUAAAGCUUGCGUUCGGAUGGUGACGUGAACCUAUCCCAUUCCUUGAGGAUAGCCUGGUACGAUGCAGGAUCCGAUCCGGAGUUCGACCCCAACGAUGACGGUUGGUACGACUGAGGCCCGUGCUACGCUCAAGUCACCUGUGGAGGAGGUUCCCGAAGAUGAAGGACGGCCGAAGACCUAGCUACCGCUUUGCGCUUUCUUCUUGUUCGUUCUAGCCGAGAGGCUUGUAAUAAAUUUCGUACUGCAGAUCUUUUGGAUUUAUAUAAUAAUUAAACCCAUGUUUGACAUUAUGCGAAGUAUGACUAUGAUAUUAUGCCCGAAAUGAGUUCUGUAUGUGAUAGCGCUUGAUCCAGAGACUAUCACAAUGAUAUAGGGAGUCGGAUUUCUCGAUUUGGAAAUCCGGUUCGUUUCAAUUGAAGUAGUAUCCGAGCUCUAGAUUUAUAAAUAAAUAAAUAAAAUGAAACUUGACGUGGGCAAAAUGGGUAGCACAUACCAAUAUCGUGUGAAUUUUCAUUUCUUAAUUUUUUGCUUUAUCUAUUAUUUACUUUAAUACUCCUUGUGGCAUGUGGAUUAAUUAUUUCUUCCAGCAUUCUAUUCUUUUAUUCACGUAAUUACCUUUUAUUUUCUUGUGUACAUAUUGCUUUAUUUAUCCCCAUCGGCUUGUUCACACGUACACAAUGCGUUUAUGUAUCUUUUUUUUCCUGCAUCGUUUCAUCCCCAGGCACCACCGUCGUCUGUCGUCACGACUGGACGGCCUCGGGAAUGGUCCGCAGCGCGGGCUCCCACCGGCCGUCAACCACCACCUCGCCGCCGGCGCUCACGAUCUCCGCCAGCACCUUCUCCACCGUCAUCCCUCCUCCGGCGCCCCCGGCCGCCGCCUCCGCCAUCAGCCUCUGCAGCCGCCUCUUGCUGAUCCUGACCGUCACCUCGACGCCCGCCCUCUUCCUCUCCUCGCAGCUCUCCCGCCGCUCCGCCCACGCCGGCUCGCCGUUGUCGUCGUCGCUCCACGGAUCGGCCUCGGCGCAGUGGCGAGACCGAGACGCCUGGCACGCGCAGUUGCCCAUCCGAUCGAUGAGAUUUCGCUGCUCCCUCGAAGAACGAAGAGCUCGUUCGUGCGGAAUCAAAAUCCCGGAGCGUGCACGCGGGCAGGCUGGUUGCAUAUAUAGUUUUGGCGACAAGUCUUCUGGAAGAAUGGAAUGGCGUGGCCACCGAUUGUCAGAGGCGGAGGCUGCGGCUACUUCCUUCCUGUGCGUCUGCGUGCCAGCUGCGGAGUUCGCCCGCGAAUCCGCAGCAGCCGGCAGCACACACUGCAAAUUCUCUGAAUUUCCGGUGCCGGGUCAGACGUGUUAAAACUGACAACGAUGUGAUGCGGCCGGACAUGCAGGCACAAAUGGUACGGCAAGGUACGUCUUCAGACUUCAGCGGCAGCAUCAAAGCCAUCAGUCUAAUCGAACGUUUUAAAGAAUUGCUUUUCUCAGGUUGCAGUCCGUAGAUGAAAACUUGCCCACUUUUCGUUGAACUGGACAGACGCUUUCGCCAAGCACACAACACAACACAAGCAUUGCAUUCCAACGUGUGAUGGGAGCGUUCAAUCGGUAAGUGGAACACGAAAAGUCACCGGCGGUUUUGCCCGAAUCGUUCUCGUUGAAGAGCACCGCAUCACACCGCACGUGCGUCUCAGGAGUUACAGGAGCUAGCAUCGUGUCGAAAUUAAAUUAAUCUUCUUCCUUCAUUCCUUAUAUGAAAAAGAGAAAUUGGUCUUCUUCCGAUACCUCGCCCAUCACGGGGAAAGAAGCGGUCGUCUGGGGCAAACAUGAAAUUCGUAGACAAGGUUGGAACGCCUUCCCAAUUGACCAGCUGCUUACAAGACACUCGAGCAAAACUAAAUAUCCCCUUCAUAGCUGCACUAUGUUCUAGAAUGGCUUGCUUGGAUCCCUCUGCAGUUAUUGGAUUAUUGCACAGGGACUGUGUCCCUAGCAGGUGGACCCGCUUUCAAAGAACGGCUGUUCUCUGCAGUUAUUGGAUUAUUGCAGAGGGAUUGUGUCCCUGGCAGGUGGACCCGCUUCCAAAGAACGGUUGUCCUUCUGUUAAGAAGUACUUCCUCCGUUUCAAAUUGCAGAUCGUUUUGAUUUUUUUAGAUUUACAAUAUUUACUAUGCAUCUAGAUAGAUAUUAUAUCUAGAUACAUAACAAAUAUUAUAAAUUUAAAAAAUCCAAAAUGAUCUAAAAUAAAAUUUCAAAGUUAUUUCUUGGGGACAGUGUAGGUGGCUAGACUCAUUAACCUGCAGACGAUGUGCACAUUUUACCUACCAAAGAUUUAUUCAGACUCAGGCAGCUGCAGACUUUAUUCAGUUCAAGGAGAUCCCGUGCAUCCCAAAUCCAAACCACGGGCUCCUGGUCUGUGAGGAUUUCAAUGGGUAACAGGGGCUGCUGCUACACUGCUCAUCCUGUUUAUCUACUACUAGUUUGGCCUUCGACGUACAAAAAAACAAAACUAUAUUUCUCUUUUAUGAGAGGAAGAUAAAGAUUUAUGAUCAUUGUAGCAACGUUUACAUCCUCUUUUCAAAAAAGAAAAGAAAAGAAGAGAAGACAACGUUUACAUCCAGCAACAGGGGUGAGGCCAGCCAAACAUGCCGGCCAUCCCAAGAGUACAAGCUACUUCAGUAAGAUUGUGAGCCUCUAGGUUAGAAUCCCUACCUUCGUGCACAGAGAUCACUUUGAGGGAAAAAACGAAACUGUAAAUAAAAUGGCCUAUUGGGCUAAAGACAGACCUGACAAAAUGCUUGAAACUUUCAUGGCCAAAAAAUUGUGAUCAAGCCCACCUAGUAAGAUUUUUUAUUUUUGCAAAAAGUAUAUGUUGGUUUCAAAAAAUUAUAAAAAGGGACUCCUCCCGCAAAACUCAAAUGCAGCCAAGGUAUAUAAAUCGCCGUUUCAGUGGAAAGUUUAUUAAAAAUUGCCAUCGAAAAAUGACGAGAAGCUAGGUGGGCUCCUACGUUGCUGCCAAGUAUCUUCGUUUGAUUCGUGAUAUUUUCAGAAAACAAUUAAUCCCAUAUAUUGCUGCCAUUUCUUGCAUCCAAGUGGCGCUUGCUACAGCCAUUACGUGGCACAUUCAAUCCAUCAGUAUAGCUUACAUGUGGGACUAUAUCUGCCCCCAUCUUCUCCAAUGCUAAAAGGUGGCGGAAAAUGAAAACUUUUGGGCAAAAACUGGGUGCAAGGUGCAACAAAAUGCUUAAAUCUAGUGCAAUGUUACAAUAUGGCUCCAAAAAUGUGGUGUUUCGGGCAAUUCACUCUGUAAGGAAAUUGGAAAUGCUUAUAUAUUUGUUCAAAUUGUAAUGGAGAACACAAUUGCCAAUUUGCACGGUUGAACUCAAAUAUUUAGAAAUUCAAAAAAUAUUGAUACUGAUUGGGAUGAAGAGUAUUUAUAAAGUUGUAUAGCUCAUCAAUAUCCAUAACUCUAUAUUUACAACAUUUUAAUUUGAAAUAAUUUAGAUGCCUGAUAUUUUCCAAAGUUUUCGAUACAGAGGGUCGAAAGGAAAAAAUAUAUCCAAAUUCCAUUAGCAUUUAGUGGUAUGUGAUAUAGUAAGGAACAUUAUUAGUUUAGGGGGAGGGGGAGUACUCCAUGAACACAUUGCUCAAGCUGAUACAAAUGCUUUAAACCCACCGCUAUAAAUUCUUUUACGAUAGGAUUAUCAAAGUUCAUAUAUUCGAUCCACUUCAAAAUAUAAGUCAUUUAGCACUUGGCAUGGUGUGCAAGCUUUGACUUUGGCCAACAAUUUUCUAUUAAAACAUUAGUUGUUUAGGUACUUAAAUAUCUAUAAAUUAUUAGUCAAAAUGAGAUUACACGUGCAUCAUUUAGGACCUUUUUGGAUUCAUUAGAGCUAAAAUUUAGCUGUCUGCUCGAAUCCCUAGCUAAUAGGUGGUUUGAUUGUUCGUUUUUGCCACCGCUGCUACCUUUGCCUUAUUGCGAGGGCAAACAGAUUUUUCACCAAGCAUUAGCUGAAAUUAGCUUGGAAGAUCCGGGUAAUAUGAGAAAAUGGUUAACUAGCUAUUUUAAGUGCAUAUCGACUGUGGCACAGUGGAGUACUGGAGUUAACUCAAGAAUAAUCUAAUAAAUGCAUUAAUUGAUUAAUCAAGCUACUCCUACGUCCUACUACUACUACGGGCAGUCCCAAUCAAGAAACCAUGUUGUAGUAUCUAUGACAUUUCAUGUCACAUAGACGGUGCCCAAGAAACUAUAGCUCCCAAUGUAUAAUCUGUAAUUGUGGUUACAAAAUAAAUUCUUCCAAUAACAUUUCUCUUCUUUAUACCAAUCCCCUUCCUCCCCACUCUUUAAUUCUAUCUUGGUAUUUGUGAUAUCUAUCCCAAUGGAUUUUAUGUAGUUUCUUCAACUUUGAUUUUUGUGUAAGAAACCAUUUCUUGCAUGAGACCUAAUUUCUUGAAUUUUUCAUCUCUCCUCUUUAAUUGCAUUGCCAAAUCAGCAAAAUAUUCUACAUGGCAGCCUAUUAAAUGCUAUGAAAAUUAUUCUAGUUAUAGCAUUGGGACUGCCCUACUACAGUAGUAGCAUAGUUUAGCCGACUUAAAUUCUGCCUUAAUUUCAUAAGCUGCUGCCCUUGUUUAAUCAUACAUAGGAUGCAACAAACCACUCCUACCAUACUAGACUACUGCUAGUACCAUCAUCUCAAGCAAAUCAAGGUCAAAAAACAACACGCCCGCAUGCAGACACAUGAACAUCGUCCAAACUUCUUUUCCCUCUUCCCAAUGACAUGCUCAACCACUAUCCCUAAACUUUAACUUGAGCUCUGCAAAAUCCUCACAUUCAGAUGAUCAGAUCUCAGUAUACUGCAGCAUGACUCGGGCCAAAAAGGAGAAACUGGUCAUCAACCAAGACCCAAGAGGCUAAGACUGAACUCUUUCCUGACGAUCGAUCAAUUCGGCAGUAGUCCACAUGUGCACAUCUCGUUAGGCCUGUCAUAAUAUAAUGACCUCCAGCAGUGCCUUAAGAAAAAAAAUACCAAUAGAAUGUCUGAAUGUGCAUAUUUUCAGCAGCUACCAAGGACCAUCUUGCCGUUUCUUAAUCAGGGAAUGAUGGCCGAUGGAUGAUCCCUGUGGGCAGUGGGGCUGGCCGCCGCACAUGACACAUGCCCGCGUGAUGCUCGUCUUGACCAAACCAAACCACCCACACAACACACAGCAGCAAGGGGAGUAGUGGUGGAUGCAGACUUGCGAGCACGCACGCAGGGGCGUGCCUUGAUCGAUCGUGCACCAGCGCUAGUAUGGAGGGAGGGGUGGGCGCGUAUGAUUGCGGAAGGCUUCAGGCACCGUCUGGAUCCAUGCUGACUCAAGCUUAGUUUCUAUCGUAUUAGAUAUUUAAAUACAAAUUAGAAAUAUUAAAUGUAUGCUAAUUAUAAAAUCAAUGAAGACUAAUUCACGAGAUGAAUCUAUUAAACCUGAUUAGAUCAUAAUUUGCUAUGUUUGCUACAGUAAAUGUAUGCUAAUCAUGAACUAAUUAUCAUUAAUAGGUUCGUCUCGAUAAUUAGCCGCGACUUAUGCAAUUAGUUUUUUAAUUAAUCUUUAUUUAAUCCAUCUAAUUGGUAUUAAAAGAGAGGACUAAAGUUUAGUUCCUAUGAUAAAAAGGGUCUCAUACCUUUACGCUUUCCUUUCCAUCUCCUGGCUUUGCGGCUCAACUGAUGCUGCCCUACUGCUAGUCUGGUGCUAAAAGAAAACGUCCCAAAAGCUUCGAGUUCCCACGCUACGACUAGUAGUAGCUGCUUCUUUUUUUUCCCUGUUGUCGAGUUGGGGGCACCUUCCAUCGUGCGAUCAUGUUACAUUAUUGCAAACAACGCAGAUGAGCUUAGAAAGUUGCUCGCAAGUGAGAGAGAGUCUGCAUGUGCCUCGCUUUCUGAAACCACUGCAAGAGUCUCAGGUUCAUAAACAGACCUGUCUGUGCAGCAUAGCCUGAAGUUCAGCCGAACUAUUUUGCGCAGUAGUAACCUGUGUGAUUGUUCCUUUGACAAAACUGCAAAAACCAGCUCAUCGUUUAACAUCAUGCGUUACAGUGUGUCGGGCUAUCGGUACCCUGCAGGUUAUUGGCAGGCUUCGUCUUGAGCUUGACAAGUUGACCCUGUAGUUCUGGGUCGCUGCCUGCCUGUUUGGAUAGAUAAGCCUCCAACCAGAGGCGUACAGAGAUGAGAUAAGGCAAGCACAAUCGGCCAAUGCAAGCUGCGGCUCCCGAGACCGCCGAGAAAACGCCGGCCGCCCCCACCGCGCCGAGGAUCCGGAGGCCACCGCGCCAUGUCCCCGCCCUGUGCGCACACAGCGCACUGCCCUCACCUCAGGGCCCUCCGCCCGGCAUGGAGAGGUGGUGGAGCUUUGGUUUCGACUUUGGAGCUUCGUUUCUGCUCCAAUCGACGAGACAAGAAGACCACGAGGCUCGCUCACUCUCGGCCAAACAAAGUGCACAACGAGACGGCAGGCUAGCUCGUACGAAUGGAUGGAGAUGUGCAAAUUAAACGUACGUGCUAUAUAGACCUAUAGUUAUGCGAUCUCAGAGACAGAGAGAGAGGGGGGGGGAGAGAGAGAGAGAGAUUCAAAUUUCAAAAAAUUUCGUGCGGGCACUCUUCAAGUUCGCAGAGGCAGCAUCCAUUGUGGCAAAAACAGAGUACCACUUGCAUCGCCAUUGCUCAACGGCGGUACACUACCAACUCAUGCUACUGCAAGUAUCCUGAUUCUGCAAAUCCCUUUGCACCGAACAAUAGACUCCGGACCAGUACAUUUAUGCAGAGCCCGCACGGGCCCCUCACUUUCAUGUGAGCGCUCUCAGGCCUCAGCUGCUCUCUUGCCCCUGCUAGCUGCAGCCAGCCGCGAAUUGAAGGGACACGCCGCGAACUCCGUGACGCCCAGCGGCGCGGGCGGGCGUCGAAAGCCCAGCCGCCCGCCGCUCAAGCCCCCGUUCCGUGACGAUCCGGAGGAGGUUGGCCUGGCAACGUCGCCGGCGACGUCGCUGCGGCCGGCUGGGUAUCUUACACUCGUCGGCGCCGCCGGCUGGCCAAUGGAGCAUGCGCCUUGUGUCAUCGGUCGGUACACGGCACGUCUAGGUGCUUGGCUCUGGACCAUGCCUGCAGGCUCUGCAGGGAAGAAGAGGCUUCCCCCCCUCCGUGUCGAUCGGUCGAGGCACGUGUGCGCGCGGUCGCCGUGCCGUUCGGGCGUCGCCGUCCUCCUUUGCUACUAUAAACUCGACAAGACGCGCGACGUACCCCCAAAGUGGGUGUGUUUCUACACUGCAGUACUGCACCAACGCUCCGAUUGUCUGCCGAGCCGAGCUGCUAGCAAAUAUGAUGAAGAGCGGAGACGCAACAACGACCAUGCGUUGCCGUCGCUACAGUGAACAACCUCGCCGUCAGAAGUGCGCGCUAAAUGUAGAAACGGACCACGAGAUGCUUUACCGAUUCUCAUGGGAACGACGUGGGCACGUGGGUGAGGGUGCUAAAUUACAAAUAUAAUAUUAUUCUACACGUCUCCAUAAAGAUUAUAAAUAAUUGAUCAUUUUUGUUCCCGUAUCUUUAGGGAGAAAAUACUCGAAAAGGAUGUGAACUCGUAAUAAUAUUUUUAGAAAAUUAUUGCACAUAAUUGUUCUAUCCUCUCUAUCUCUAGGACUAGUUCAACAAAAUAGAAUUUUAAAUUCUUGUAUAGCUCUCGCAUGUACCAUGCUCACGCUACAGCUUGCAGUCAAAAUCCUAGCACCUAGAGAGCUCUAUGAUUAAUAUCCUUCUUGAUGCACCCACAAAGUCAGAACCAAGCUCCAAAACCAUUCCAACCUCCCAAACAUAGCACCUCUCACAACCCAAUAAUCCAGAAGAUCUAAAAAACCCUAGGAAAAAAAAGAAAAAAAAGGCGAAAUAUUUCCAGUCCCUUUCCCUUUCCCCUGCCCACGUUCUCCACUCUCCAGCCUCCUCACAGGUCUACAGCUAUAGAGUACCCGUCGUCUCGCCGGGCCACCACCACUGCGCGCUACCGCUACUGGUACUAGAUCUCGCGCGCAACCCACCCGCCCGCGCGCGCUAUUCGCGGCAAUGCCACUGGCCACGCCGCCGUCUCGGCCCGCGUACCUGUGGUGACCCGCGGCCGGUAUGGCGCGCCCUCGACGCCCGCCGCCGGUGGCGAGGUCCCCGGCCAGGGCCCAGGGCCCGGCAGCAGCUGCCACCCCACGCCAGGCGUCCCCCGCCCGCCCCCGCCGCGGCCGGCGGCUGCGCGUCCAGAGCCCCUCCCUCGCCUCCGCUCGCCGCGUGCCCGCCCCGGCGCACGCGCCGCCGCCGGCAACCCCGCCGCUCCGGUGGCCCGGGGACGCCGUGGCGCCCCGCGAGAACGCCGGCUCCGGCGCGGCCGCGUCCGUGAGGAGGAUCGCCGCGGCGCUGUGGCGGGCGCACCCGCCGCCGCGGGAGCCGGGGGAAGCGCGUCGACGCCCGGAGGUGAGCCUGCUCUCGACUCGAGAUCCGCGCGCGUUGUUGCUCUCUAGGGUCCUGGGUCACCGCUCUGCCGUGUGCCCGUGUAUUCCGCGAUAGCGGCAGCGCCUUGGGCUCGUUAUGGGAGUGUUUUCCGCUGCUGAGCUCGGGUUUCGCGGAGCAGCUGUUUCGACUUUUGAGUAGCAUGAAUUUGAAUGGGCCGGUGAGCUGUGAUCAUUUGGUUAAGGCGAAGUGCGCGUUUCUUUGUUUAUUUGCCGCUGUUGGGGAAGUGCGGUGUGAUGCUACUAGUGCCUUGGCGUUUCUCUGAAUUUUUUGAGCUGAAUGCUGAAUGUUCGUAAAGCUUGGCAAUUUGUGCAUCCAUGAGCGACGGAUUGGUUGUUCCUUCUGCAAAAUUUCGUCCAAGUUUCAUUAACUUACAUGGGGUCUUGAAAUUUACGGUCAUUGUUCCACAAAUUCAAGAUCGAGCUGAGGCUGAGCAUUUCAGCUGGAUGUAGAAAUUUUAUCCAGGAUAAAGUUGGAAGAACUCUCAGCCGAUCUGAAGUUCCGCUUUGCGAUUGCAUAAUUCCGUGGUUUUCAUGAAUUUAUCUUUACAUAUUUCCAUGUCAUGCAUUGCUUAAAUUUCGGCUUUUUGAGGAAGAGCAGUCUCCAUCUGUGUGGACCAAUCGUGUUGAGUUUCAUGCUAGAUUAUAGUAAGCUCUUCUCAGCUGCUCCAAUUGGUGAUCCUUAUCGUUCCGUAUUGCUUUGGGUUCUUUCCAUGCAUCUCUUUCAACUAGGCCUGAAGAUGUGUUCCAUGUGUCAAUCUACAGGGUUGUUGUUAGGAUGUAACCUGUGUGGUCCCCAGAUAUUAGCUGCUCUUAGCUGUGAAAUGAAGACCUCCAGUGCAUGGAUUUUGACAAGUUUUACUCCAUUUGCAUGCAAAUUCUGUAUUACUAGCAGCACACAUCUUAAGUAUGUUUCUUAAGUAUUAGUGGUAAACUAACAGUAAUGAAAUUUGCAGCCUAGCCCAAGGCAUCCGCAUACUCCUGAUCGUUGCAAUUACUAUAAAGCGGUCCUUGAAGGCAGGACGGGGAGUAAGCCCCUUGGCAAUGGCAUCAUUCGUGAGGUAUAUAUCUUAUUCAUAAAUUAAUAUUUCUGGUAUAGAUUACCACCUUCCAAUCUGAUCCAGUUUUAUUUUGAUGAAAUGCUUAUAACAACAAUUAGGUGGGAGCUUAUUCUUCAUCACCCCGAAUUGAAAUGGAAGUCGCAACAAAAUGGGACCGUCGUUGCCUGAACACAUCUGGUGGUGCUGACUAUGAUUUCUGUGAACGCCGUGCAACUGCUGCUGAUGAAGAAGUAUCUGCACUUAAAGAAGAGCUCAUGCAGGCCCGCAACCGGAUUCAGGAGCUUGAAGCUGAAAGCCUAUCUUCUAAAAAGAAGCUUGAUCACUUGGUGAGGAAUCUCGCUGAGGAAAAGGCUUCCUGGAGGAGCAGGGAGCACGAUAAGGUUCGAAGCAUAGUAGAUGCUGUUAAAGGAGAUCUGAACCGGGAGAGGAAGAAUCGACAAAGGGCAGAAUUUAUGAACUCCAAGUUAAUGGAUGAGCUAUCUGAGCUGAAGUUGUUGGCAAAACGAUAUUUACAAGAUUAUGAAAAGGAAAGAAAGGCCAGAGAACUCAUGGAGGAGGUGUGUGAUGAAUUAGCAAAGGAGAUUGCAGACGACAAAGCUGAGGUUGAGGCUUUGAAGCAUGAAUCGAUGAAGGUGAGAGAUGAGGUGGAGGAAGAAAGGAAGAUGCUACAGAUGGCAGAGGUUUGGCGCGAAGAGAGGGUACAGAUGAAGCUUGUUGAUGCUAAACUAACACUAGACAGCAAGUAUUCACAGCUGACUGAGCUUCAGGCUAUCCUUGAGGCCUUCCUCAGUUUCCACCAAGGUAGCAGUGCAGACAAAGAAACAGUGAGAGAUGGAGAAAGGCUCAGGGAAGCAAUUUGCUCUAUGAAGUUACAUGGUAAAGAGUUCUCGUACAAACCGCCGCCUCCUUCAGAGGACAUUUUUGCUGUGUUUGAGGAACUUAGACAGAGGGAAGAUAUUAACGAGAAGGAAAUUGUACAAUGUAAUGGAGAUACCCCCGUGAGCCAUGCAACAAAGAUCCACAUGGUGAGCCCUGAAACUGACAUCUUUCUGGAGAAACCGGCAAACAAAUAUUCCACUCAACCUUGCGCCAGAAAUGAGGAUGAAGAUGAUAGCGGAUGGGAGACUGUCAGCCAUGCAGAGCAAGGCUCUAGCAAUUCACCAGAUGGAAGUGAACCAUCAGUAAAUGGUUUCUGUGGAGGAAAUGAUGCAUCAGCAAGUGGAACCGAUUGGGAGGAAGAUAAUUGUAAAAACUGCAGGUCAAAUAGUGGCAUCAGUGGAGUUUGUUCAACAACAGGAGAGAAGUACCGUAAGAAGGGGUCUUCUUUCUCCAGACUCUGGAGAUCAUCAAAUGGCGACGGCUGCAGGAAAACAGGAUCUGAGUUACUGAACGGUAGGUUCUCAAGCAGCAGGAUGUCCAAUGCUGAUCUUUCUCCCGAUCCCAAGACCAGUGAGGUGUGUCAACUCUCACCGAGUGUCGGGGACUGGAGCCCAGACUUGCUAAACCCUCACGUGGUCCGUGCCAUGAAAGGGCGCGUGGAACGACCUCAAGGCGCACAGAAGCACAACCUGAAGUCCAAGCUCCUGGACGCAAGGACUAAUGGCCGUAAGGUACAGCUGCGCCAAGCGCUCGAACAGAAGAUAUAGCAUGGUGUACUCGCUCAUCAUUCUCCAUUGUCGAAGACAACACCGUGAUCCUUCCUGGUGAGGGCGCCAGGGAGGUCUUCUGGUCACCUUCAGCUCUAGGAGGUGCACCAUUAUUGUUGUAGUAUCUCUGCCUUGGUCCUCGAUCGGGUCUUAUCACUCGCUGUACCUAAUUCACGUCGAUGUUGUCCGUUGAGCCCGCUUAGAAAAAUUGGGGCUCCAUGUAAUCAAAUGUAAUUGUAGCAUUUCUUUUUUUUCCCCGAUGCAUUAUUCAAUAGUGCUAUUAGCUUUUUGCAGUAUUCUUUCAGUUUCCUUUGCUUUUGAGUUCAGAUCUAUGCAAUGCAUGCAUAGCUUUAGUGACUGUCUUUCAGGUGAAGUUUGAGGCUGAACUGGACGCACUGAACCGAAGUCCCAUGGGUGCGUGUAGUGACUGUCUUUCAGGUGAAGUUUGAGGCUGAACUGGAGGCACUGAACCGAAGUCCCAUGGGUGCGUUUUGCUGCUCCGUGUCCAAUGUCCAGAAAAUGGGAUACGCAAAGAAAUGGAGGCUGUUGUUAUUAUUACAUGACUUGAUGGUAGAUCUCAAGGACAUCGCGUUACUGUAAAUGAGACGAGAUACUGUACAGCCGGGACAUGAUAUUUUCGACUUUCAACUACCGAUAUGCGUGGCAAUUAUUGUUGAUCGUCGGGGAACAUUCUCCAUGUAGAAGCUACUUUUGUAUCUCCUGGUCCUGGAAGCUGAAGCUUCCUUUAAAUAUUAAAGUAUUCUUAUGGUAUUUAAGAAAGGAGUAGUUCUAACUAAGGAUAGCCUGGUGAAAAGAGAAUGGAAGGGAUGCACCAAGUGUUGUUUCUGCAGUAAGGAAGAGAUAAUCCAUCAUUUGUUUUUUGAGUGUCAUAUGGCCAGGUUCGUAUGGAACAUGCUGGUCAUUUCCUUUGGCAUUCAGCCACCAUCCAGUAUAUCUAAUCUGUUUGGGUCUUGGGGUAGAAGUUUUCCUUCAAAUCUUAGAAAGACAAUUCUAAUUGGAGCUUCGGCUCUUUGCUGGGCUAUUUGGCUUAGUAGGAAUGAUGUUAUCUUCAAAAACUCUACCACUGACUCAUUUUUGCAGGUUAUCUUCAGGGCGACUUACGGGAUCAGAUGUUGGUCACUGCUAUCUAAAGAGGAAGAGAGGAGCUUCCUGAAGAAAAAUUGCCAACGCUUAGAGAAUGUUGUGAUGGAGAUCUUCAACAAGUUUGGCUGGAAAUUCAGAAAUAGCGUUGAGAACUAGUGCUUGUCUCUUGGUCUUUAUGACCCUGAAUUUUGUAAACGUUAAGUCAUUCUGGCAGGCUUAGAACUGCAUGGUCUGUACCCAUUGGCUGCAAGCUUUCAUUCUGUGAUAAGCUGAGGCCGGAUAUUUUCCAGAUUCUAAAAAAAAAAUUACUCGUGCCGAAAGCACCCAUGAGACGAAUGAUAACCUUGGCCGACUUGGCCGGGACCCCAGGGCGUGAACGACUCGAUGCGAUGAGGUAGUACUUGGAUCGCGUUGUCGCGGGAUCCGUCAUGUCUGUCCCAAACGACGUCUCGUCCAAUUGAGUCGCGCGGUACGCUGCUGGGGUUGGUGAGGUUGAUUGCGUGUGCGAGACUCGGCAGCCGGCGACCGUGAACGUGCGCCGCCACCAGUCUCUGGCUGUUGCGAAAGCGCCGUGGGAUUGGGAAAGGGAUCCAUGGAGACAGGCAUCUGCCGUGGCGGUAUGCUGCGCCCGUGCUCCAGUAGCCGACCCCGUGUGCCGGGCGAGCUGCAUUCAUCCUGUUACCGACCCCGUGUGCGGGCCGAGCAAAAUCCACCCCCCGAAUAGGCACAUAGCUAGGCAAUUAGGCAUGGACCAACAAAAGAUGGGUAGAGCGCGGACUCGGAAAGAAAACGACCCGUGACUACCCAGCAACCGGACCACAAUUCAGUGCUAGAUCAUCCGAUGCACAUCUAUCUGGAACGAAACCAUGUAAAACCAGAAGGUUACUGAAAUUAAACCCAUCCCAGAACAGGAGACCAACAUCAAGCAUUAUAGUUAUACAGAGAGUACUUUUAUUAAGGUGGCAACAAUAUUCCAUACAUGCCAUACCCAUAUGCUGGUGGCGCAUAAUCAGGAGAAAACACAACUUGCAUCAAGCAGAACACAAUGAUAAUAGCACAAUACUUAUGUUCUUAUAGAAAGCAGUAACUAUAAUAUCACUGCUUCAAGCUUCCGAAUAUGCGGUAGGGCGCAAUUACGCACACAAGCAUUUACAGGCCCCUUAGAACCCGUGAAUUUUGAUGUUCUCCUUCUUUGCAAUCCCAGCCUACCAAGACAAGUAAACAAAUGAUGAGCUUAUAUAACAAUGGAACAGUCUUCAUCAUAUCUUACAAGCUACAGCUUCGAGAUUAUUGACAUACCUGAACUAGGAAAGUGGCGACAUUCUUACGCUGAUCGCCUUGGAGCUGAAUGACCUGUAUAGACAGCAAACAAAUCAUCAGUACUAUAUCAGCAGAGAGCAUUUGUGAACUUGAAAAGCAUCGGUGUAACAUUGUACCUGGCCUAGCUCUGGAUCCUGGACUACAGUACCAUUGCAGCAGAAUUCCUUCUUGAGAUCCUUGAGGAUCUUGUUGUAGCUGAACUCUUUCUUCAGUCCCUGAACAGUAGUCAGACUCUUUCUGCCGUUGCGUUGCUGGAUGCGCACAUGCACAUAAUCCUUUGUUCCCGGGCCAGCACCAGAGUCCUCAGCAUUUGCCUCAGCAAACGGGUCUACCAAAAAUGAUGCCAUACCAUCAGUCAAGCAUGCACACAAACAAUACUAGUGUAUCAAAACCAAAUCAGAAGCAUAUUCAAUAUGAACUUGCUCAUGCUUGAUCUCAACACAGCAUUCACUAAUACUGUAGAAAAGCUGCAGCAUGCUAUAUGAAGCCAAGGCAUAAGAAAACAUGGACAAAGGGAACAUACCAAAGGCAGAUGGAAGCUGGACGUCGAGAUCAGACAUGAAACUUGGUUGUUGAGGUUUGAUUGGCACCAAGCUGAUCACGCUUUGAUUUAUUGGUUUUUAAGAAGCUGCACACAAACCAUACCAUCAAUCACAGGCUCUACAAGCACAAAAAAUUCAGGGAAUAACAAAUCACAUGCUAACACAAAUCACCUACGGUAGCAGCAAAGCGCAGUAACAAGUAAAACAGGAUCUAGAGUAGAGGGCAAUCGUUCAUAACCGUCGAUCCGUUAAGAAAUCUACCACUGAAACUAGGGUUUCACAAAUUUUCGGUCAAACUUGGGGGGUUCCAAAAUCACACUCGAACAACAGCUUGGAUAUUAGAUCCAGAAAGGGGCUAGACGAAAACCCGGAAUUCCCCAAAUCCCAUCACAUGUCCUCUAACCCCCGCGGACGAAUCGAAGUCCGUAGACUACAAACAGGCCUACAUCUAAAACAGGGACCACGACGGAUCGGGGCGAAACCCCAUGAUCCCCCAGAGCGGCCACAAGGCUUAACUUUACCCAAAAAUCCAGCCGCUUACCCUCCCAAACGACUCUAAUCAAUUCAUCAACCGCAACCCAGACGCCGAGAACAGCCAAUCCUACCAAUCAUACGAAUCAUACAAAGGACACUCGCACACCUCCCGGAGAACCCGAUCCGAGAUCCUUUCGUCCCCAGAAGCAAAUUCGCGGCGAGACGCGAUAGAACCCCUCCAGAUCCCCAAGUCCUAGGUCUACGAACGAGACGGAUUGAAUCAGGGAAGGAGAGAGGGGGAUGGGGAAAGGGCGUUGUUGGUGCUCACCUUUCUCUUCCCUGGCGAGGAGAGGAGGCGUGGAGCGCACGCGGCUGGGGGCGAGAGGCGGAUAAGACUAGACCAGGGGCUGUCUCGCCUCGCCGGGCGGGUUGGCUUUAUAGGCGCGUGAUGCGUAUAAUUAGGUGGGCGAACCGCCGUUCCGGGGGAGCGCUGGCUAAUUAUGCAUCCCCACACGGCUCUAGCGGGGAGGCCCGGGAGGCUCUGGAUUCCUGCCGACCCAUCGAGACGGAAGCGUUUUUUUAUUCCUUUUCCUCUUAUUUUAUUUUUCCUCUCGAUGAAUUGAAUAAUGGAUUUAGUGAAUACAGCCGGUACCCUCGCCAAUUGCCGGUUGACGUUAAGCACUUCGGUUGUUCACUCUACAAGGCUGACCUUUUUUUAAUACUAAAACACACAGAUAUGGAGUAGUAUACUAGUAGUUUUUAGAGGAAAUACACAAGAAAAUAUACUUUUUAGAGGAAUAUAUGCAAGAUAAUAAGUUGAGGCUAACUGAUGCACGGCCCAAAUCGGUGUCAAAAAGGUCAAAAGAGGCCCACUGACCCACAUUGGCUAGUUGGCCCAUCCAGUGAGGUCGGCGCGGUUCUCUCUCGCGGCGUGCGUAUCACGGCGUCAAGAAUUUUCAUUGCAACAAACAGCAGCUUAAUGUUCACAGUAACAUUUGUUCCGAAUCUGGGCGCUGGCAACUGGCAUCGUAGAAGAAACGUAACCCGGACCGGACCCUAGAGGAAUAUCAAGCAUAUUAUUGCGCGUUAAGUAUAAGAAAGUGUAGUAGAUUCCAAACCAGGUCAUAUCCAAUCUCAUAUCGAUACGCAUGCGCAGCCGUGGGUUCACCGGCGCCAAUGCUUUGCAAGUUGCGUGCAGCAUAUUCUGAUUGAGGGGCCGUUCGGUUAGACAGUUCCGGGCGUGGAACGGCCAGAAAUCAUUCCGACGCUAUGUAAAUUAACGAAGCAACAGUGCGUCUAGGAAUUAUUCCCAAGUAACCGAACGAAGCCUUGAAUGAUUUCUGAGCCCACAUCCACUAAUCACCACAGGUGUCACAUGAUACUUUGAUGUAGCAAUGUUCAAGGGCAGAUAGUACAUAAUUGCGGAAAACGAGUAAACGACACUUAUCUAUACUGUAAUCUGGGCAUCUAACACCACUAAAAUAAGCAUGCGAGAGAAGCAAGCAUGUCUAACAGCGCAACAGACGAACUGCGGUACUCGCGGCAAAUAACAUUCCAGCUUUCACUUCUUCCCCUGUGGGUUCCUGUACUAGCGAGAUUAAGCAUUGAAUCGCAGUGUUAGGAUUCGGAGGCAAAGAGUUCCUGGAAGAACCUGUCCAGGUCACCUUUUUGUGUAUCGAACGCCAUCAGUUUAGCCACGGCAUCCUGAAAUUUUUCAGACAUUACGUUCAGUUAAAAAUUAGUUUCGGCAGUUUGUAUGCAAAAUCAGCAUAGAUAUUUUUCCUCGUUAAAUGUCAUUGUCCAGCAAGUUAUGCACCUGGUACUGCUUGUCUGUUGCUGCUAAUUUCUCGCUGACCAUGCGCCCUAUAGGUCUCUUCGAAUGGAUGUCCUCCAAAAUAUUGUCAGCUCUCUGGACAACUUCAUUUGGUACACCUGCAAACAAGCAAACAUAAGGAAUAUACAUCGCAGCCUAGAGUGUUAUGAUAACCAUCCAGGUGACAAAUUUACGGUUUAAGACUACAACUGAGUUUAAUAUCACAAUGCGCUUCAUCAUGUCAAUCCCUUCACUACAGUGACAACUUGUUUUUGAAGCAGGGGCUCCCCUGCCGAUUCCCUAAAAAAAAACUUAUUUUUGAAGCAAAACAAUGACAACUAAAACAAUCUGCGCAAAAUAGUACACUAGUUUAUGGUUGCACUAAAAAGUUGCUCAUGUUAUCACAAUAUACCAGGUGAGUAGAAUUUUGUCAACAUACAUACCAGCAAGCCGUGCACAAUGCAGACCUGCAAGGGAAAGAAAACGUUACCUUGUAUCUGAUCCAAAAGGAUGCAUACGAAUUGUUGGUCAAAUGUAGUACAUAAGCUUACCAAAGCUUAAGAGCGCCUGCCCAGGUACAAGUCUUCACCAUGUGCAUUACAAUUCACAAAUUAAGCAAGACAUUAGUACAGACGGAAAACAUAAAAGGAACAAGAAAAGGCAUGAUCGGUUUCUUGGAUAGUUACCGAUAAAGGAAUGUGAUAUCAUCAUUGCUUGUUUGUCCAUCAGGAUUCAGAACACUCAUGGUAUAGCAUUUGAUAUGUUCAGACUGCAAAAUAUCUCAGAUUUCUUAAAGUUGUUAUAAGCAGGGCUAGACAAGAUUAACUGUAAAAGAAAACAAUCAUUUCUAUGCAUCAGCAAAUGGAUAUUGACUAUUAACCUGUGGUAGGUAGUUCUCGGUGAAGAUCUCCGUCAGAUGUGUUGACAAAAGGACCUGCAAUAAUUAGACAAUAUUGCAACAUACAACACUAGUAAAUGUUUUUGCUAGGCUAGCCAGUUUAAAACAUUAUAAAGCAUAUAUAUAGAUAUAUUGCUCAUCCAUGUUUGGAUAAACUAUUUACAAUAUAGACAAGAGUCAAUCAGAAAUUACCACAAUUUAUUUUCGCUUCCAUUCAGUAUGAUAAAUGACACAGAGAACAAAAUUAUUCUAUGGUUAUUAUGUUACAAGGUGUAGGACUGCAGGUGUAAUACACAACCACAAAAUCCCUUCCAAAAGACAGAAGGAAUACACCAUUGCCAAUUACUCCCUCCAUUUCAAAUUAUAGAUCCUUUUGGCUUUCUAAAUACAUAGAUUCUGCUAUGUAUCUAGAAAUAACGUAUAUUUAAGUGCAUAGCAAAAGUUACAUACCUAGAAAAGCCAAAACAACCAAUAAUUUGGAAUGGAGGGAGUAUGUCAAAUUCACAAAGUUUUUACUCAUGGUACUAACUAAUAGUUUUUAUUUAGUACACCAAGAACUUGCAUGGACACUAAUGUACUCGUGCUUGAAAAUGUAAUGUCAAAUUGCUUUUUGUGUGCAAAAGCGUCGUGGAUGAAAUAAACAUGGAAGAGGGUAUAGGGGAAAGAAUGAUAUGAUUGGAGAAUCUGGCAUUAAGUUGGUCAUUAAACAAGGAUAAUAAUUCUUGCACGAGUUUUCACAAAUCUAUUCUCCACUUACAACAGAAAACAGCAUCAAAAUUUCUAAAUGGCCUGAAAAGAAUAACGAGGAAAUAAACUCUGCAUAUUUGUCCUUUGUGCGUGGGGUUGUAUCUUUUUUUGGUUAGGUGUUAUGUGUUUGUUUUGUCUGUUUUUGUAAACUCUCUUCUUCUUACGAAAUACAUGCACAGCAUGUUCUCGGGGAAAAAAGAUAAUCAGGAGGAAACUAAAAGAACUAUUAGAAUCCAGAAAAUCUGAACCAAACAAUCAUGCAAAGAAGUUAACAGCUUCGAAGUGAUUGAAAGGAAGGCCAACAGACCAGACUGGCGAACCUAUAAGAUUGAAUUUCUACAGCAACAUUUAGCUGUCUAACCUUUGGAGGGAAAUCAGAGUUUGCAAAAUGACCAAUAGUCCCUCCAAGAAGACCAAUGCCAUCUACAAAGAAUCAGGAACGAAAAAACUAGUCAUAUAAUCUUGAGCCAUGUUGAGAGGAAAUGGAGAGGAGUUUAAGAUUUUCUGUGGUUUCACUCUCACCUUCAGUUAGAGUUCCCUUACCGAAUUCAUCCAACAAGCACAGAGAUCUCAAUGUUGCAUGCCUGAAAAACAUAUUGAGCUUAUUGGCACAGCUGAAAGAUCAUGAGACAAUAAGCUUGAGGGUCACUACUAGGAUAUACCUGAGCAUUGUUCCAACUUGAUGUAAAUCAACCAUAAAAGUUGACUGUUCUGUUGUCAUGGAUUUGCUUCCCAUUGCACAAAAUAUCCUGCAAGACAUCUUGAGAAUGUCAAGGAUAUCGCUAGUCAAGUGUUAAUAGGUACCAUACUGUGUUUGGUCCAAACCCAUGAGCACCAUGUACAUACAUAGGGUCUUCAGUCUACAACCGUAGUACAUAAUCUUUUCUAGCAUAGAAAUCAUAUGAUAUACAAGGAAAGUGCAUAUAUGUUAUACAAACCUAUCUGUCAAUCCAACAAUAGCAGAAUCAGCAGGAACGAAGCUUCCGAUAUGAGCAAGAAAAACUAUCAAGGCCACCUGAAAGCAGAUAUAUAAUGCAACUUGAUCUAUUAUAUAGUUUGUGCUUAUCAGAGUUUUAAGUGUUCUAAAAGUCAAUCACCUGCUUAAUGUAAAUGCUUUUUCCUGAGUAGUUGGGCCCAGUUAUUAUGUUUAUUCUUCCUAUAAAGAAAAAACAUACGUCAGAAGUUUGCAAUAGUUCUAGUAGUGCCAUAAGAAUGAAGAUUUACAUCUCUCAAUAACUAUUCACCUGUAUCACCGAUUUUAGUAUCAUUUGGAACAAAGGUAUGGACAGUCAUUUCCUGCAAAGCAUGUCUAAAUGCUACUGAAGUUUAGAAAAUUGUAGACAUGGAUAAAACUGAAGACUGCUAGCCAUAUUAAACUAUCAUGUAACAUACAAAUCAACUAUAAUAAAUACUAACCUGCCAUUAUGUAUCUCGAGUAUUGAAUCCUCAGUUAAGAUGGGCCUCACGUAAUUGUUUUGGCGAGCAACAACCGCUAGUGAUAAAAUGCUGAUGUAACAAUAUCAUGAAGAGCAAAUUAGAGUAUUAGACUGAUGUACUGUCAACAAGUUGAUCAAUACUACAUGUUUGCCCAAUAAAAGCAUACUUACCAAUCAAGUUCUGCUGCAAAGUUCACUGCUUUUGUCAGUUGAGGUAGAAAUUGAAGGAUGCGACACACUAAAUCCCUCAUGAUUGCUCUCUCCAUAUCUGUAUGAAAUAUGACAAGGUUUGAGUCAAACUACAUUAUGUCUAAUGGUCUAUGGUAGGUAUCCUAAAUAUGUUUGCUGAGUUGCCUAUAAUUUUCAUGCGCAGCACCAGCACUAGAAAGGUACUUUGAGAUAUAUGGCAUCUCCAAGUUUGGGUCCAAACAGGAAUUAAUAGUCCAGAGAGCAGAAAUAGAAAUCAGCUUGGCUUUGAAAAAGAAAGGAACCAAUUAAAUAUAAACUUGAAUUACAGCACUCCAGUCAUUUUGUUUUACUUCUAGCCCUAAAAUCGUGUAGAUAACCUUACUUGCAUACAUAUAUGACUUGCAUAGACAUUAUAGAUUCCGGGACCUUAAUUUUUGAAUAAAAAUAACACAAACCAUGUCUAUAAUUUGGUGAACAAAUUGCAAUAGUAUAACAAGAUCAAAGAAGUGAAAAAGAAUAAGCUACCAAGAAUUUUAUGAUAAAUAUCUCCAAGAAGGUUGUCCAGUUCUCUUGUCUUUUGGGUAUGAUAGUAGAACCUUCUCUCCUCACCUUCCUCUGAAAACUGAUGAAAACAAAUUGUACCGCCUAGCAACAAAUUAAACUAAAAAAAAAGAAUAAAGACACUGCAUACCGCAAAUUCGUAAUCUGGAAGUCCUACUAACAAGGCAUCACUAAUCUUCUCAUCAAAAAAGCACAUUAGGUACCCUGGAAGAACAUGUGAGGAUAUAAAAAUUUUGAACACAAAUUGUAACAUGAUCAAGUAGCAACUAUGUUAGUUGUCUAAGUUUUGAAUUUUUCCACAGUCCAAAGAGUAUCAAGUAGUUAUCUCCUAUAGAAAUUUUACAGAACUUUUUCAUGACAGUUUAAACAGCAUCAGCUGAACCAUGAUCUCAACCUUUCGAGAAGCAAGAUUACAUCCAAUAUCCCUCAAAUGGAGGUCAAAAGACUUAUUAUGUGUGUUGACCUUUGGUAUAGAUAAGGCUUAAUUUAAGUAGUAAUCUCUUGUGCAUCAACACAAUAAUUCAACAAGCAAAUCUAGCAUUAUUUCUUAAGGUAGUAGGUAUUUUAGCAAUAUAAACAUUAGUUAGUUGAAAUGCAAAUGAUUUAGUUAGAAUCCCUCUUAUAUACAGCCCUACAGUUGAUGAAGAAAAGAUACUUGCAUAAGAAAAACAAAUGAAGCGGAUUGUGUUUGAGCACAUAAUAGAAACUUUCGCAUACAGAAGGCUAGGUAAUAUCAAAUGAAUAACAAGAGAAGAGCAGAGUUCUAAUUAGAGCCAAGGAAAGGUCCUACCUAUUUGGUGUACAUAGACUAUCAGUGGAGGUAUUCUGCAUUCAAACAAGAACGGUAAGGAUGCGUUUUCAUAAGCUGACACCUAGAAGCAAUUGAACUGUCAGAAAUUACCAAAUAAAUACUUAAAAUAUAAAUUUUUCUAACUCAAUUUGGGUUUGGAAGAUCUAUCACCUGCUCUAGAAAGUCAGGUAAUCCUUCAUAAACCAUCCUCAGCUCAUCCAACUGAUUUAUGUAAAGAGAUGACAUUGGAUUAUUAAAGUGUCUCCUUAACUUCAGUAACUACACAACAAUCUAUAACCGCAUGUUUUGAGAUACAUAUGGAAAGAGCAAAUGAAUAACAGCAUAAUGAAUAGAAUGUAGCAAAUAGUUUUCUUGUAGAAGUUCUGAGACUUGGCUAUUGAACAAUCGAGAAAUUUCUUUUGCAACUAUACUACAAGUUGUUGCUACAUUGAUGAUGUUCAAACUCCAAAUUCAUGCACCCACUCUAAUGCAUACAAGCGCACACAAGGUGCACAAAUACGAUUGCAAGCAUAACCUAUUUUUUAAGACAGAAUAUAUGUUUGGAAAAUCCUGUCAUGACACUCAGUGGAAGAUAACUAAAUUUGAGAAAACUUCAGGUAAACACAACAAAAAAGGCACUGAAAUGGCAAGAGAAAUGAAACAUUAUGUUCUUAAAAAAAUUACAACAUACACAUGCAACGUGGGAACCAAAACUGCAACAUCUGAUAAGGAUGGAGACAAAAUAUUGGAUUUAUGCAGUUGCAUAGCAACAUGAAAAUACCACAUACAUUCUGGUUAUGCAGAAAGAAUACCAAUAUCGCACAGAGAGAUAGGGAGUUCCCACACUUUUUAUAGUCAUUGAAGCCAUUAUAUAACAGGACACAACUCAAGGAUAGAAAAGACAAGUCUGACCUCAUCACAUAACCCUUCUUUCACCACUGUUUCAUAGCCUUUCUCCUUACCCCGUUGCACAUCAAUAACACCAGCUACCUAUCCAUAAUAGAAGGAAAUGAUUGCCAGUUAAUGGUGUAUGAGACAGUAAACAUAGGUCCAUAGAAAGAUCUAAAUAUUCAUCAAUAGUAGCAAAAAAGAGACGCGUUUUCCAGCAGAAUGUUCAAACACAAUGGAAAAUUGUAACAGUAGCAGGAGAUUUUUUUAAAUCAAAAUAACCAAAAAAAUUUGCAACCAGAUAGCUGUCAUUAGUCACCCAAAGACCUAAAAUGAAGCUGUACAUAACAACUGCUCCAGAGGAAUACAAAAGAAUGACUGUUACACAAUUUGUCCUCCUAUUUUUCAAUUACAUUUUAUGUGCUUAGUUAUUUGCAGUAAAAAACAAAGUGUCAACCAAAUUUGACCCCAAUGGUCAGUUGACUGGGCCAAAUGGCAGUGUCCAUCCAAGCCUAUGACAUUUGUUCAAGCUUGAAGCAACAAAAUUUCAUAGAUAAUUGUCUCAUAAACACUUUAACAGUACCCAAAAAUCAUGCUAUAUAAGUUCAUGCAUAAUGUUUAAUUAUACUAAUAUCAUUGUCAGAAAACGAGGUCAGAUAUAACAUAAAUCUCUAGAAGAGAGGGAGAGGAAGAAGACUUAGUCAUAACCGAAAAAGUAAGUGAUGCUUAAGAAUAUUUGCAGUCAUACCUUUAUUGUGCCCAUCAGUAUUUUUAUGUGUGUUUUUAUCAAACAUACAAUUUAAAAAAUUCCAAACAAAAAUGAAACCUGAAAAGGUUUUGAACUGACCAGAUCUGACACGUAAUCCAACUCAGCUGUAAUGGAAGAAUUUGCCUGAUAACAUAAACAGUGAACAAAUUAUGAAAAAAGUUACAACAACAGCAUGAAACUUUACCAAAUUUCAAUUUUGAAUUGGUGGAACUGAUGCUGCCCCUGUUGGAGAUUAAUACCUUUCCUAUCAAAUCGAUGUUCAUAUGUUGCAACUUAUUUGCCAGAUGCUCUGAUAUUCCUACUUCAAAAAUCUUAUUUAUAUGCAGCAGAGAGCAAAUGCACUGAAAAAAAGGGGGAAACAUAAUUACCAAUAAGUAAAUGGAGAAAAGACGAAGGAUAAAAAAAAUGCGGUGGUGCAGAUGUGCACACUGAAUAUCUAACAUUUCAGUCAUAGUCUUGAAUGCAAAAUAGCAAAAUCGCUAGGCAGAACAGCCAAGAGAAGAAAUUACUCUAAAUGAUUGUGAAUUAAUUUUCAAAAGAUUCUUUAAAAUACACAUGACAGCUCUAAAGUUAUAAUAUAUUGUCAAUGACUCAAUGUAUAGCUUCAUUCAACUUUAUAAAUCAGAGGUAUAAUGCUCACUAGAAACAGGGGAGCAUGUAGCCUUGUGGUAAAGCACAUGGCUGUGGUGAUUGAGAUCCUUGAUUCUAAGUCACACUUCCAUUAAUAUUAAAGAGUUUCUCCUAUGUAUUCUAGUUUUAUAGAGGAGCUUGAGAUACUUGAUUACUAGAAGUUCUGACAAGAAGAGUAGGUAUAGCAGUUAUGCUAAAACCCAUGCACCAACAAUGACCGAUAAUCUUACUUUCCCAACACCUACUUUCCCAACACCAUUAAUCAAAAAAAGGUUGCAUGAUGAAAUGCUAUGAAGCAUAAUCAAAACAUGUGCCUGAGAAUAUUAUUCAGAGAAGCCAGAAAUUCUAACUGUUGAUCUUAAUAUUUAGCCUGUUCAAAUAAGCAAUACAACAUCCAUGGCUUGGUAUUAGUAUAUUACAUAAACUACUUGUGGGGACUAGGGAGGCAUGUUUUCAAAUUUAAGUUUUCUAUCAGUACUGCACUGCACAAGCAUAAGGCAUAAAAGAACUAACAUUCUAAAAAGACAGAUAUUUUCUAUGUUUCAGCAUAACAUGUAGGAAUUUCGAAACAAAGACUUUUGGGUUACCUUAAGAAAUGUGUUCCAAUCACUGCUUGUACAGAAGGAACUUGGAGAGUUGAAUUUCUAAAGAAAGGGAAAAUAUCAGGUAUGCAUGCUAAAGCUGAAUCAGCAUGAUUGGAGAAACUUUUAAGAAUAGCCACUGUAUCAUACAAGCAACACAUGAUUAUCAAGAUUCAACUAUGUUACACAAAUUUUGAGGUUUUGUUUUUACCAUCGAGACGAAAACAAUGCCUGUUAUUAGAAACAAGUCAUGAUCCUGUCCAAACUCAUAAUAUUUGUAGCAACAUAUUUUUUGAGAAUGUGCUGAGCACGUGUUUUAUUAGAGGAAACAUUGAACAGAACAGGAUGGGCAAAAGAAAAUAUCCAAGCCUAUGGAACAAUUGGGGAGCAGGUGAAGGUUGAAACCACCCGGACCCAACACUCUAAGAAGCGCAACUUAAGGACUGUUUUCCAUAAAAGAGAGCAUAAUAAAAAAAUACAGUAGAUAUUAACUUUAUUUUUGAAAAGGCCUUUCUAUAACAUAGUAAAAGGGUUACGAUUGCAGUACAAGAUAAUAACCAGAAAAUGUACAAGUACCACCACAACAAAAUAUGUUUGUAUUGCAAAAUAAAAGGCACCUUAAGCAUGUGGGGAACAUCUCUGACAGACUUUAAAGUCUCACGCAAUGCAGACAUUACUUCUUCACAGCAAAGAAAGAAUGUUAUCUACUAUUUCUAGGAAAACAGUACACAAAACCAAUGGUGCCUAUUGGGCAUCAAGAAUUGAGAGAGUGAAAAUUAUAAUGAUUCGGCAAAACAAGGAUACUGUGUUGAGGCGAUUAUUUAUCACAUCAAUAUCGAUUAUAGGACGUAAGAACCAUGCCCUGACACCAAAGAGUAAUAGUUAAUACACUUUCGGAUUAUUUUAUUAUUAUUAUUGCAAACAUUAUUAUCAGAGGUUGGAGAUACCUCAAGAGGCGUCUUCCCAUUGGUGUGACACACUAUAUUCAAAACAGUCAGUGACUUUAAAAAAAUUAAAAGAAAAGAAAGAGCUUAUUUACCUUGUUGAGCAUGCCAAAAACUGAGAACCUGUGGUUCGUCAAUAUUAUUAAAAAUUGAAAGCCAACAAAAGCUAGCACAAAAGCCUUGAUGAAAGAUUCUUACCCUUCUUUAGCCCUUCCAAUUCCCAUGUAGCUAGGGUGUUUAUCUACUUGAAAAAUUUGUAGUGCUUCAUGAGCAGUUGCAUCAAGUUUAAGGAACUUGUCUCUGUGAGAAGUCAAGGCAUGCAAUUCUAACCAAAAAUAGAUAGGAGAAUGGCACCUGUUAUAAAUGCAUUCAAGCAAAAAUUAUGUUGGUUCCAAAUUAAACUAUCACUGAAGAUUUAAUUAAAUCUCAACACAUCAGUGUGUUGGUUUAUCCAAUAUCAUUAAAGGAUAAAAUGAGAUCUGUGCCACAGAAUCGAUCGCAAUGGAUGCUCCACCUUCCAUCUGCUCGAUGGUAUCAAGAAGUCUCUCAUUGUCUAAUAUAGCUAGGAGACCUCCAGCAGCACGAACUUGAACAUCGCUUCCAAGAUCCAUCAUGGAAUUAAGCUGCAAGUAAACCAGAAUGAUGUUUCCAUCUCGUAAUUAGAAAUGGCUUACAGAAUUUGGGAGUGAAGAUGAAUGAUAGAAGAAAACGAAUAGCCAGAGGUUAUCACUUAUCAGCAAAACUGAUGUUAGACAGAUAUAGGAUACCCUAACUUGACAUAUUGGAUAGUAUCUGUUAAUAAGGGAACAAGAAAAGGAGCUGUAUAGUGGGGGCCUUGUUGCAGGGCUUGGUUACAUAUUAUUGGUAUGUUUUUUUUAUCUCAGAGAUGCAAUAACAGGUAUUUCCAAAAAAAAAAAUCAAUAGUUUCUAAAGAUAUCCCAGGGGAUGAAUCAAGACAUAUAAGUAAAAAAUAGUGCAGCAAGAUUCUCAUUUAAGAUCACUUACAAAGCAGAUCCUUUCUUUUACACUUAGUCCAUCAUCCAUAGCUGCAACUUUCAAGUAGAUCAAUCUGCAGUUGAGACAUGCACACGAAAAGUAAUACACCAUCAAGAUAUCAGGUUAAAAUGUCACAGAGAGAGACAACAAAAAUACUACAGGGCUAGGUGGUUACUAAUCACGAUGAACUUUCAGUAACAGACCAAGUUUGCUAUUUUGUUUCUUCAAUUACAAGUUACCAAAUAGAGAUAUAUACCCAAAAAAAAUUGCUAGUCAUAGUAUAGGUGUUACCACAAAAGUGUUACAAAACGGACCAAAUUAAACAUGUUUGAUUGUAGAUGCCCAUCUAAUAGAGUUUUCCAAUUACAAAAUAAUAAUGUCAAAACACCAUCAUAUGACAUAUAUACAUCUUACUAAAAUGAACCAAUUUUGCAUGGAAGCAUGCUGAAUUGGGUUGGACCAUGUUUGAGAAGGAAUACAAAAGGAAUCCAUAAAAGCAUGUCCAGUAAAUUAGUUUAUUUGUAAGUUUUGUAUUAUGCAAAUCAAGAAAAUAUCAAAACAAUCCUUAUAAUACUCAUGUAAGGCAUAUUGUAAGACACAGAAAUAAUACUUCUUAAUACAAUUAAAAAUGCCUGGUUUUGUAGUAUAUAGAGCAACUAACCUGUGCCAGGCUUGCUCAUAGCUGAAUGUUGAGCUUUUCAUGAGCUUCACAACAGGAGCCUCGUCGUUACCAUCUGCAUGAUUCCAUGCAAAACCAUCAAAAGAGAACUAAAGAUAACAGUUUGAAGAAGGGGGUGUGGCCCAUACCAUUUCGUUGUAAUGCCGAUAAAAGUGCUUCUUCCGUUUUUGUACUUGCAUAUAUUGUGCUUGGUUUUGACUGAAAUUUCACUGGUGCAAUACCAGCAUCAAAAAGUGUCAGCUAUGUGGGGGGUUUUACCUAUUCUAAACGUUUAAUUUCCUAAUAUUGAAAAGCACAAAGAAGUGUUUUUGCCAUAGCAACCCCUAUGUCUAUAUUCCAAACAAAUAAAUAAGAAAUUUUCAUUUCCUAUUUAUCUGAGGAACAUACCAAGAUCAAUCAGAGGAAAUUCCCCAGCGAUGUCUUCCCAGAUUUCCAAUACAAAAAGCUGGCGUGUAUUUGAAUCAUAGUAUGCUACUCCAACUCUGAGAUCGCAAUAAAGUAGAAAUGAAUUAAAACAACUUAAAUAUCUGCUGUGCUAGUAACCCACAAAACAAAUUUUAGCACUGGACAAUGGUGCAAUGAUAAAUAAUGAUGUUUACUUGCCAUGCAGAGAAAUGCUCAAAUCAGGAGAGUUUGUAUUAUUUCUAUUAAAAAAUAUUCAUAAUAUUAUUUGGACUGAAGUCUAGCAUUCAUAUUUUUGAGAAAUUCUAUGAAACAGGAUCGUAGAAAAAAUUUAAGUAGAAUAGAAACUGUUCAACUGACACGUUGUAUGUUAAGUAAAGAAACAUAUAUCAUAAACUAGUAAUAGAAUGAUAUCUAAUGGACAAUGAAAUACAGCGUGCAUCUAAAUUUACCUACGUCCUUGCAUUACACAAGCCAUAUGAACCUGAAACAGAAUCAGAAAGACAUUCAGUGAGUACAGUGAUAGCAUGAAGCUAUGCACAUUUGCACAAAACAACUGAUAAUGACCAAAAUGACAUGUGCAGGACGUAUGAUACCACAUCCCAGAUUCAAAGAGCAGCUGGUUAGAACAUAAACUUAACUGUCUAGCACAAACUAAAUUUUGGGUUACAGAUGAAACAAUCUACUAACGGAAGAACAAAAUCUGCACACUCCAAACUAAGCCAUCCAAAGUUUUCCAUUCCUCUCACGGUUCAUACAGAACUAACCCAACACACUGCAAAUCCGAUCCUAAAGGCUAGAACUGUGUACGAACCCGAAGACCAUUCUAACCAGACGGAAGUUAGAAAACCCCAUUUGCGUGCAGCGGCGCGAGCUACUAAAUGCGCUAGAUGGAAUCAACAAACUCAUAAGCUAAAUCAGCGGCUGCUCGAUACAGUUCAAAUUAGGACGGCGAAUUGCACGAAACUGGGUUCCCGCAAAACGAUUCGAUCGGGCGCAGGGACACCAGAGAGGGUAAACCGAGAAAACUUCACUCCACAUUAUGCGAUCGGAGGCGAGGAGGUGGUAGGAGGCUAGGAGCGGCUCGAUACGCACCUGGGAGUCGACCCCCGUCUCGGCCAUCUCCUCAUCGUCAUCCUCCUCCUGAAACCCCUCCGCCUCCAUUUCACCCGCUAGCCCAGUGGUCGGUCGUGGCUUGGCUCACCUCCUCCGCUCCGCGACUCGACGCCGCCUCGCCUCGCCUCGCCUUCUCCGCGGCUCCCCGAUUCGAUGAGGCCGCCCCGUAGCCUCGCCUCCUCCGCGGCUCUAACCCUUGGUUCCGGAAUGCGGAUGAGAAUUGAGACGGAGUGAGGAGAGAGGCUUGCGGCAAUCGCGGUUGGCCGGGUGAGGGCGUCGCCUCGCCGGCGUGGGGACUUCAGUGAUGAUCGCUGGGGACUGGGGUGGGGGAGGCGGAGCGGCGAGCAGGCACGCGCUGGGUGCGAACCGCGAAGUGCGUAUGGGCUGCAAUGCGGGCACGGGCCAGCUGGCUUCUUGUACGCCAAGAAAGAACGAGGCGAGAUGAUGCGCGCGACUCCCGUAAAAUGGUCAUGAGCUGGUCGCCUGGUCCCGUAAAAUGGUCUGGAUGGAGUGAUUCGAAUCUGCAGCCAACAAAUUGCGUGGACAAACACUCAGGUGUCGAGGUCGGACUCUCCGAUGCACGACGUGUUUUGUGUACAGUGCAACGUUACACGGGGAAGAGUUUGCCGAGUAGAACACAGAAAAGUGAAUCGGUUUCCAAAGGCAAUUUUUUUCACGUUAAAAACGAAUCACAUCCGUGUUCAUGUCCCAGUGCCGCUGGCUUGACUAGCUACGCAGCCCACGCGCCAGGUCCCAGCAGAGUUCGACACAAACUCCGAACCCCCGGUGCGCGGGCGUCAACGAGUCGGAGCACCGUCCGCGCACGCGCCGUCACCUCCGAGAUACAAAUACCGAGCCAACGGGCGUCGCCAGGCGAACAGUUUCCCAUCGCGCGUUCGGAUUUCGCAAGGAGGCAACGCACGCGCACUCGGCGAUGGCUCUCCUGACGCAGCGGCGCCCCAGCAGCGUGCUCCUGCUGCUCCUCGUCAGCCUCCUCGCGCUCACCGCGGCCCCAGGCUGCGCGCACGCGGCCCGAGUCCCCGCGGCGCUUCACAGUGACGACGACGACGCCGUGGCCGCUCCCACUCACUAAGGACAGGCACCCGCGACCGCGCCGCUCAUUGUCAUGAACCUCUCGUCCGGCGGCGGUUCUCAUUCCGGCGGCGGCUCCGGAGGGGGUUUGUUCCGGCGGAGGAGGAGGUGGCGGCGCUUGUUCCGCUUCAACAGGUGGCGGUUCUCGUCGCGGAAGUGGCUCAACCGGUGGGGUUCUCGUUUUGGCUAUUAAUCCUCUUGUGUAGGCAGCGUUCAGGAUACAUCACACGGCUCGUAGAUUGUGACCGCAUUGGUAUUACUGCCUGCAUGCAACCCGUGGACUAAGAUUCUCUCUUUUUAUAACUUGAGUCUGGUCUUGUACCCGGCGCCACUUCAUUGUACCCUAUACUUUUUAGAUAUCUAUUUAAAUCAAAGCUCACAGCAGCAAUAGGGAUCUCGUCAGAGCCCUAGUGCAAACAACCUUAAAGAUGUGUGUUCAUCCCCUCCCAACUUAGGCAAACUGCUCGGUUGUGCCUGAGAAACCACUCGGUGGGAGGCGAAUUUCCAACAAUUGGUAUCAAGAGCCUAGGUUAAGUAUCCUAUGGAUUAAUAUCUCCACCCAGAAAGCCCGUUAGGUCUAGGCAUGGCUCGAGAGAGAGCAAAAAGCUGAUCAAGGAUGAAGAAGAUCUCCUUGGUAAGGAGGACCUGACGUCCAAAGACCAGCGGCCAGAGAACCUGACGCCCAAAGACCAGCGACGCUACCGGAGGCGUCCCUCCCCUUCCCCGCGCUGGCGGCGCUACCGGGAUGGGGAGUGGCUGGUCAUUUAGAAGGUGGACACAUCACUGUAAGCCAAGCACAGUACGCCGCUCAAGUCGUGAAGAUUGGCGGGAUGGAGGGGUGCCACCAUGCCCAGAUGCCCAUAGAGGAAAGGUUGCGCCUGAGUCGCGACAGGACCGCUGCAGAAGUUGACUCCACCGAGUACCGGCGACUCGUCGGAAAACUCCAGCAUCUCCUCCGCAUGCGACCAGAUCAGGCCUUUGCGGUUGGGUUUGCGAGUCGUUUCAUGGAGAGGUGAAAGGAUCUUGGUGAUGCCUAGAGCGGCGGUGAAUAGGCAUAAUGGUAAAACCUGAAAAAAAUUCAGCAAUUAAAUCUGUCGAAACUUACGACACUGCACCGGAGCUUUCGACAAAAGAAAAGUUAUUAUACAAAAUUCAAAAUUAAACAUGACACUGUAGAACCUGACUGAAUCAAAAGUUGCACAAUGAUAUUAAAAGACUUCUGCAUGUGAUCUUUACAAGCACAACAACUCGAGUACGUAGAUCGGCACAAAACAAACUCUAGAUCAGCGAGAACUAAUUAAAUGCAAUAAACACAAGACACAAAAGAUUUAUUCCCGAAAUCCACUUCCACUAAGAAAGCUACAUCUCCAUUGACGAACUCACAAAGAGCCGAGUCUCCCAGUAACUUUUUACCUAACUCAAUCAACCACAAAAAAGGAUUGAAUCACUUACUAUGAAAUCCACAAAGGAUAGGGUAAUAUAAACUUUCCGGAACGCGCAUACACGAGAGGAUGCUCCACGGGCGGCACCAAACCGUCUAGAAGCAAGCUUCAAGAAUAACAAACGCGAAUCGAAAGAUAAAGAUGCUUCAAGUACUCUUAGCUGCCCUCUCACUUAAAUGGUUGAGUCUGAUACCUCAAUCUUGCUCUCACCCAAGGUCUAUCUCAAAUCAACUAAAGGAUUAGCUCAAGAAGGGAUUGGGAAGGAGUAGUAAAUUCUCUUGGAGGUAUUUAUCUCGGGUUAGGUCAGCAACAAGUGAAGGAGGGGCUGAAGGGUAUAAAUAUCCGAGCCCUAAAAACUAAUCUUUAGUGUACUGGUUAAGUGAUUGUCGGAAUUUCCGACACAGUUCCAACCCAGCUAAACUGGCUGGCCGAGAACCCCUGUUAGUAGAUACUCGGAACUUCCGACAGGUGUUGCAACUUCCGACCCCAUAUUGGAACUUCCGACUACACACCGAAAACAGUAAAAAAACUAGGUGCACAAGUGUAUGAUUACGUGUCUCUUCUUGAUGGUUAGCAUCUCAAAUAAGUAUUUAGAUAUUUAGAUAUCUUCAUGCUAUCCAUUCGCAUCCUUGGUACGAUGUUUUCUGUACUUAAAUUCUAAAUAGAAAAAAUAUUAAAAUAUCUUCUUUUAAGUCCAACACCAUCCUUUAAGCAAAUUUUACAUCUUUUCUUACUCUUUUUAUUUCAUUAAAUUUUAACCUGUCCAUAACACGAUAGAGUUUUAUAUGUUAUCAACACCAAAACCCACUUAGAGGGCCAAAUGCACUUUCAAGAGGCCGACUGUCAGUAUAUAUAGGCAGGGAUACCUCCUGCUAGUGUGUCCAAGCCGAGGAGCGCGAGGUUAACCUCGCACUAAGCCUUUGGGUGACAGGAUGUACGGCCCGGACCUGACAGCUGGGAUCACGGUCUCCAGACCUUACCCCGUGCUCUGACAGGUCCGGCGCCUCCAUGUGCCCACAAGGACAAGGUGCUCAGGAACGGCCACCGCGGGUCCGAACCACCGCGGGGUGGUCCGGUGCCACCACGUGGGGAAGCCGGACCCCUAGGGGGCCUGUGCACCUGGGCCGGCCUCGGGGACCCGGACCUCCCUUCCCUCCGAGAAGGAGGUCCGGAAUCGCUACGUGUCCCUGAGGAACCAGCUGCUAAGCUAGCUACGUGCCCCUGAGGAACCAGCUGCUAAGCCAGCUCUGCCACGUGUCCGGUGGCAGCCAGCCUUCUGCGGUUCGCUAGCUCAACUACCGCAUUAAAUGCGGGUAGGUGGGGUGCGCGUGCCCGGGUCAGGACGUGGGCUGUCCACUGACACGUCGGGCAAGUAUGCUGACACCACGGUAAGCCCGCCAGUUACCGAGACGGCGCGUCGUAUCACUACACCGCAUACGAAGGCGGGCGACGUGUAGUCACAUCACAGCGCCGUGCGCUUGGGCAAAGGGCAAUUAUGAUCUGCUGCAGGAGGGCUGCGGCGUGCGCUGCUACAGUGUGCGCGGAAGCUACAGCAUGGCUGGUCAACACAGCCCCUUCGCCUGUCAGCGGAAAUUGACCCAACAGUGACAGCACGACUUCCACUGUGCAUGUCACUGACAGCAGGCACUGUGCCGGUGAGACAUCACAUGACCAUAUCCUGGUAGAAGAUAUGCACAUCAACUUCCCGAUCGAGGACUACAGGGAGGAGCCGAAGAGGAAGAUUUCCGAAUCUAUGGCUCCGAUGAGUACAUUAUUUAAUAUGUCACCGGGUCCACCUGUCGGGGCCCCGCAUGGUGUACGCGCUCCCCUUAAGUCUAUAAAAGGGAGAGCGCACACCAUAGAAAGGAGGAUUCAAAGACCAAGCUCUCGGAAGUUUUAAGUCUCACAAGCAAUACAACAUACAGUGGACGUAGGGUUUUACGCUCCGGCGGACUGAACCACUCUAAACCCUUAUGUGCUUUCCGUAUUCAUUCACCCCUUGAUCUAGCGUUUCUUGACUUCCCCCAAACUCAUCCAAGACUAGGAUUAGGCGGGUGCAUUUCGCCACCCGGCUGGAGAUUUCCUCCGACACCGACUGAAAAACACAUGAAGGCGGUGAAGCGCAUCCUCCGCUACAUCAACGGCACGCUCGACUACGGUCUCCGCUAAGAGAAGUUGACCAAAACAACUCGGUUGGCUGGCUACAGCGACAAUGACCACGCCGGCGACGUCGAAAAUCGCAAGAGCACCAACGGCAACCUCUUCUAUCUUGGGAAGGGCCUGGUGAGUUGGUAAUCGCUCAAGCAACGGGUGGUGGCUCUAUCAUCAUGUGAAGUAGAGUAUGUUGCAGCCACCGCGGUAGCAACUCAAGCAGUUUGGCUCGCGACACUACCUAAGGAGAAGGCUGAAUGCGUGAAGCUCAUGAUGGACGUCAAGUUGGCACUGGCGUUGAGCAAGAAUCCCAUCUUCCAGGAAUGAAGCAAGCAUAUCGAUUUGAGGUACCACUUCAUUCACGACUGCAUUAAGAAUGGAUUCAUCGACGCUGACUACAUCAACAUCAAGGAUCAGCUCGCCAGCAUUCUAACCAAGGUACUCGGGCGAGUGAAGUUUUAGAAGUUGCGAUCCAGGAUCGGAAUGAUCCAAAUUCCCUCGAGCACAAUACACAAUGCUUAGGGGGAGAAUUGUUGGGGCAUUCACUCUGAUGUGUAGGUAGCAUGUAGGAUACAUCAUACUAGUCGUAGAUUAUAGCCACACUAGUAUUACUGCCUGCGUAUAGUCCGUGGACCAAGAUCCUCUCUUCUUGUAACUUGCGUUGGUUUUUUAUCCAGCGCUACUUCAUUAUACCCUAUCUUAGGAUAUCUAUAGCUCACGGCAGCAAUAGGAUCAGUCGGAGUCCUAGUAAAAAUAUUUAAAAAGCAUAUGUUCAUCCCUUUCUUUCUUGCUUAGCAAAUACUUGAUUGUACCUGAGGAACUGCUCGAUUAGGAGAUGGAUUCUCAACGCGUUCUUCCGGCGGUGGAUCAAGAGGCGGUUCUCGUUCCGGCGGCGGCUCGAGAGGUGGUGGCUCCCAUUCCCGAGUCACCACGUACUAUGACGACGAGUAUGACUGGAUCGAUUACGACGACUACUCGGCUGCCGGUGACCGCGGCGGCGUCCGGAAGGCGGGAGUUGCUGCCACGGUUCUCGCCGCCGCCUGGCUCUUGCAGUUGUAGACACAGGGGCUGUGCUCAGGGUGCCUGAACUUCGUGGCAUUGCACAUGCGCGCUCGAUACUUCGAUCAGCGAUCGUCACAGUUUUUUUGUAAGAACGAUCAGCGAAGUUAGGAUACACGUGGCACAUGCUUUGGGCCAUCCUUGUGUAUAGGAAACAGGUCGUGUCAUAUUGUUCAUUAGUGCUAUUCUUUUUUGCUGCUAAAUAAAUGUAGUAAUGACUGUGGAUGUCAUGACAGCACUUGUUCUUUUUGAAUUAAAAAAAAAGAAAGAAAAGAGAUUCUAGCGUCCUCGCAAAAAAAUGAUUCUAGUCGUGCUCAGCUUAUGUGAUCCGGAAUACGUACAACCGGAUAUGGCAUGAACACCCAGUUUGCUCAAGAUUAUGCAUAAUCUCAAAAAAAAAUUCUAAUUCGAUGUUAAUCUCCAGAAAACAAUAAAUAGCGGAAGCAGAGACCUCCAUGUAUGUGCCUUGUGUUGGGGUUCAAGUUAGCUUUUGAGACGGUAUUACCAUGGCUAGCAAGCUCUAGAGGCAUUGCCAUGGGUUUCGGCAUUAGCGUGAGGGGGGAGCCGGGAUCGUAUCGAACAUAAUGCGUCUGUUAGUCUCUGCUGAAAUUGUCUACCUGUGGUGGUGUAUGAAAACAACAAGUUGCUACGCUUGACACUUCCAGCUUAGAGCAUCUCCAAUAGCAGUUCUAAAUUGGAUCCUAUCUUGAAAUAUAGGGCUUAAGAGAAAAAAUAGUCUCCAACAGGAGUCCUAUUUUACAAAAAACUAGCAAAUCAAUUUAGGACUCAGUCUCCCGGGUCCUAGAUAUAGGACUCAAUUGGUUGAGUUCUAUCUUCCUUUUGCCACGAAAUCUAACUGACAGAGUAUAAGCUUUUGAGACCCCGCUGUUGUAAAUGAUAUGAUUUGAGAUCCUGUUGUUGGAGUAUAAGCUUUUUUAGACCCUAAACAUAUCAAAUAUAUCCCUAAUACAAAUUAUAGGAUCCAAAUAUAAGACUCAUUGUUGGAGAUGCUCUUAGCUUUGGUAGUCGCUACAGAAAUAACAACGCGAGGAACACGUGGCUAACUGUCAAGAACAUGCAGCUACAAAGCGGAUGCGCGCACACCUCCGCCAAUCCAGCCAAACCGAGCUGUACGCAGCCAUUCGCGAAAAAAGAAAAAGGAAAACUCAAAACUGAACUCGUCGAUUCCACGCCGCCACGCCGCCACGAGCCCGCGCUGCCACGCAGAUAAAGAUGUCAAUGGGUACCCGAUACCCGAAACCCGACAGGUAAAAACCCUAUUAGGGGCCGGAUUUGGGUAAGAUUUUGUACCCAUGAGUAUGCAAACGGGGAAAAACUCAUACCUAUCGGGUACAACGGGUAUGGGUAUGGUAACUAAGUACCCAUCCCCGUUUACCCCGUACCCGAUUAAGGGCAGGAAUCUCACAACAAAUAGCCCAUUAAAAAGCAAGCCCAAGAAGCCCGUUAAGAUGCAAACCCUAACCGAGCACCUCAACUCCUUUCCAACUGCACGAAUGUUGAUAUUUUGAAUCUAAAUUUUAAUCUCUGUUUAAUGCUAAAUUUUAAUCUUUUGAAUGCAAAAUCCGCGGGUAUGGGAAACCCGCGGGUACCCGUUACCUAUGUGGGUAUGGGUAUGGGACGAACUCCUACCCGCGGGCGGGUAUGGGUACAGAUUCGCUCUGAUGGUAUGGGUAUAGGUUGGCAAAAUCCGUAGGUAUUAUAACUGUUGACAUCUCUACACGCAGAUAUCAGCCUAGCACGACGGCGAACUGCAGCUGGCAAGCCCCAAGUCCCCAACUGCCCGCAGGGCCCCACCUGCCGCCCAUGCCAAAUCGUCUAGGCUACUGCGCGCCACGAAGACACGGCUCCUGCCUGCCCUGCCGCAGCAGGCAAAAAGACACACACCCCUCUCGCUCGUCCGGUCGUCCCUGCUCUUUCCCCAUCUCCAGUUCUCCACCGCGAGGCGGGGGACGGCAAAUGAGAGGCGGGGCGAGGGUGCUCUGGGCGCUGGCCCUGGCGCUGCUCUGCGUGGCUGCGCACUUCCAGGGCGCCUCCUGCCGCGGCGGCGGCGGGAGGGGAGGAGGAGGCGGAGGCGGAGGAGGCGGGAGGGGCGGGUCAGGAAGAGGCGGCGGGUCGGGACGCGGUCGCCCCGGCCGUCCGUUCCUCGGCGGGGUGGGGGCGGGCGCCGCCGCCGGCGUCGGCGCGAGGGCGGCCUCGGGAGGCUCGCACGGCCACGGCCAUCACAACGCCGCGGGUGGCGCGGGCGGGCGCGGCGCUUGGAGGACGGCCGGAGCCGCCGCCGCCCUCGCCGCCGCGGCGCUCUCCUGGUGCUGAUCGCACGUGCUGAUGGCGUAUCACGUUCCAGAUUCGAGGGGUGUUCCUUCUUUUUUUUUGGUGUGGAGAGGUGCGGUUGGUAGCACGAGCUGAGUAGUAGUAGUACCAGCAGCAGCAGUAGAUCGGCUGAUGCGUAUGUACUGGUACGCUGUUCUGGAAUCUGAAUCGAAGAUUGUGAUUAGAUGUAGCUCUGUAGUCUAGACGAGUUUGCGAUUAGCGUUGAGUAAUUGUCACGCACGAAAAAUGCAGAGGAGUUGAAGGCAUUGCCGGCUUGCUUUUGCUGUACUGUACAUUUGAAUCGGCAGAUGCUCUCUGGUUCCUGUAACUUGUGGUAUGAACAUUGCUUCAGAAAUACUUGGUAUUGGUAAUUUGGUAUAGCCUUCUGGGAAUUGAGCAUGUACGGUGUGCACUUCACUUGAGUAGUACUAGGUUACAAGUUCCUUUUAUUUGAGGGUGUUUUGAACAACCCGUGUCAAUCUGCAACCAUGUUCAGAGUUUAGCUUUGAAGACAGAUGGAAGUUCGGAUUGUGGCAAACUCUGAUGAACUAAUUGACGAGAUCAUGAAAAAUUCCACUGACAAAUGAAAGAAGUGUGCUGGUUUUCUUCUUCCAAGGGACAACAAAGUUGCCGGUUUUCUUGCUGUUCUUGUCUGACAAAUGAAAGAAGUUGCUGUACUUGGCGGUUUUUUUGUGUGUGUGUGGUUUCACAAUUGACCUGUCGGCGUUGUGUCGAGCAAAAUGCAGAUGCGCAGCUUGCGAGCCGCGGCCUUCCGGGAAGCAACCUGGCCUUAUUGUGAUUUGGGACCGGGAGUCCGGGACUGCGCUGGCUCGCUGCUCAGUCCAGCAACAUCUGUCUGCUAACAAAUGUGUAUCGUUUAGGCUCUGGCAUCGGCACAUAUAUGUUUUAGCUUGAGCAUAAUAAGAAUUACCGGUGUAAUCCGAGGGCAAAACAAAAAAAUAAGGACCCGGCUAAUUGACGGCCGGCUAUAAAAUAACCUACCGGCCGAUCCAUUUAUGGAACGUAAACUGUAUUAUCGCUUUCCUAUUUCGGCAACUCUGCCUACACCUCCUUUUCCUCACAUUUUUGGCGCCAACGAAACCUGCACGCACAUGAAACCCCUUCUCCCUCCCUCCCACGUCCACCCUGCGGCAGCACACAUAGGCAAAAAAGAGAAAAACACAACAGAUAAGGUGCAUGACACACAGAUCAAAAAGUCUUUUCAUACGGCCAUCAUCUACAAAUUUGUUUCUAGGUUCCAGCAAUAAGAUAGAUCCACAGGAAAACACAUUCCCCCAGAUGCAAAAACAACAAAUCUUGAAUUACAAAAAAGAAAUUGCUACGUCACAGAAAUUAAACUGCAUGUGUAAGAAUCUGGACAGAUGUGUUGUUGUAGAAUCCACUGAUGUAGACCUGAUUUGAAUCAACUGCUGUAGAGCCUGAUUGAAUGCAGAUAAAAAAUGCUUGAUUAGAUUGAUUGUGAUGCCGAACAAACUAUAAAAGGUUGAAUACAAGAAAUGUCUGAACAACAACUACUGAUCUGCCUGUUUAACAGUACAUUAUUGCCUGAUGAUUCAGAUUUAGUUGCUUUUUGACUUAUGUAAAAAAUGCUCUUGUGCUGCUGCUGUCUAAUUAGGUUUGUGACUUGCUGAAUUGUGCAGGGGAUAUAGAAAGAUAAAAAUGGAUUUAAACGAGCUCCCACCAAAAUUUAAUUAUGAUUUCAUAGAUGAGUUAAAUGCAAAUCCACCUAUUACACUCAGGCAGUAGUUGGAGAGGGAGCAGUACAUAAAAUUGAGCAUGCUCCAAAUCAAGAGCCAGCUACAGUUUCCGAUAAUGUAGUUUCUGUUGGCAAUAAUUUAGUUGUUGAUGGCAAUAACCUAGCUGAAAACCACCUAGGAUGUGCAGGCAACAAAAUGGAUUGGGUUCUAAAUUCGUACAGGACCUUCACGCCUCUCAUGUUUAACAAAGGAACAGUAGAAAUGUUUUGUUUGUUUGUAACAAAAAAGGCAUGGGAGGAAAGGUAAAAGAAGGCAAGUUAUGAGGUGGAGGAUUUUGAACCUGAACAUGACUUGAGGGUAACCUAAAUUAAACGUUCAAUAAAUUGCCUAAGGAGAUGCAUGAAUUUGCCUAUGCUAAAAAGAAUUAUUGCCUAACUAAAAACCAUAUAAUAGUAUUGCAGGAAAAAAAGGCGGAGACAAACAUACUACAUUGGAUGAUGUCGCAUGAGCUUGUUGUGCUUCUGCGCUCUUGGCAUUUUAAUUGGUGUGUGUUUGGAAAAAAAACUGCACAUUACCAAAUGAAGAAAUUAGUGAUGGUGGGGGAGCCAAUGGCUAAGUCAAGUGCAUCGAGGGGGCACCAUGACGGAGAGGUUGUAGGAAGGGGUUGUAGGAUUUACAGAGAGUGAGAGAUGAAAAACACAAACUCUGCCCUCUCUGCCAACUCUAGUUCAAUUAACAAUUUUUUUAUAGUAGAAUAAGUAUGUGCGCUUAAGCAAUUAUAUUUAUAAAAGUAAGCAUGUUUUAUUCAAGAUUGUUGUGCAUGUAUAUCUGGACAUGUUCAGAAAUAAUUAGACAUGUUCAGAAUAAAUUAUCUGAAUAGAAAAAGCUAAUAACUAGAUAUGUUCAAAAUAACUAGACAUGUACUUACGAAAAUACGUCUGUUGAACUAAUAAAUGACAACAUGAGCUGUUUUGUUAAAUCAGAAAAAGCUAAAUACACAGUGAGUUGAAGACACAACCUAAGUAAAAAAACACCAGCCUAUUCGUUCAACCUGAUAUAUGAUCAUCGGGCUAUCAUCAACUUAAAAUAUCCAAAUCACAAAGAACAUGCAGCAUUGACAGGGGAAAAAGCAUCGAGUUCACUCACCUUGUGAGCUUUUUCCUGCUUCCAACACGGAAAAACCUGACAUCACGGAUAGGGAAACCCCGUCAAAAUUCCAGUCAUAAGCACGAGGGGGGAGGUGCUGGGAGGAUGGGGAAUUGCUCACCUGAUUCUGACAUAAGCUUCCGCCACAUCAGAUCGUGGAGAGCAGAAGCCACAUCAGAUCGUGGAGAGCCGCGAGCUGCUGAUGAUUUUCAUUUCCAGUUGUCCCGGAUUCCAGAUGUGCUUGCCGAUGAGCUCUACAAACAAAACCCAAAAAACCAAAAAUCGAAAUGGACAGUCAGGAUAAGGGGGUGGAGGGUUUGAUGUCGUGGGGGUAAAAUCGCUCACAUGAUCGCCACACUAGAAUCACGAGAGAACCCCACCUCCACGAACUGUUGGUGGUUGCGAAAUCAUCCAGGGAUUUUGACCACAUUUGCGCACAAAAACACACCAAAUCAAAAUAAAAAACUCACGCAGAGCGAGAGAGAGGAACCCUAGAGAGAGAGGAUAAGCAGAGGAAAUGAACAUUUUGAAUAAAUUUCUCCGCUGUGGCCGAUACGUGGGACCGCCUGGUCAGCGGCACAUGGUCGGGCCGGCCGCGUUGCCUCGUUGGAUGCAGGUGGCCGUACAAGUGGAGUAGAAUACGGCUAGCUGUAAUAAAAUCAUUACCUAAAUACAAUAUGUCUGCACACGAUUACUAAAUUGGUAUUGAAUAAUCAAUAAACUGCUUGGCUUCGACUUAAAUGAUAGGAAAAUAAUAUGCAUGAACACAACUAAUCAGCAAAAAGGAGUGAUAUUAUCUAACUAUGUGAUUUGAAUCUUAAUAAUGUCUAAUAUCUCUGAUACUCCUUUCACAAUUGCAAACAAGAAAACUCGACUUACCUGAAUCAGCAUGAUGCCCCUGAAAAUGAUGUGUGUGCUUAAUCAACUACUCUGGCUUAUUGCUGAUCCUGAAAAAAUUCCAAAUAAGCAAUGUAAGGGCAAAAAGCAAGACAAAGAAACUCAGUAUCAUUUGCUAAUAAGUAAGGCAUUUAAUUCAGAUUGAUUUCUGUAUAAGUAUUUUACCAAUCCAUACAUGCCACAUGUCCUUUCGUUAUUUAAAAAUUAUAACUAAUGCAGAAUGUCAAUUUGGACUGAAAAUAUUUCCUUUGUCAGUUCUCAAAUGGGCUAACUAAAAAUCAAACAUACACGAAUGCACUUCGUCAAUUUCUAACGAGCUGACAAAAAUCAAACGUACAAAAUAAGCUAGCAAGCUAAGAAUGCUGAGAAGCUGAAAAAAUAGCUCGAAGUUUAGUAUCUUACUACUUCACAAUCUAAUAUAAUCUUAUACCUCUCCCUUUUGUUUUAAUUUUUUCUCAUUCUUCCCACUCUUUCUCCUCACUUUGUACCACCCCUGUAUGCCGUACUUAUUUUGGCAACAUGUUGCCUCUUCAAUUAAUUGAGUAGGUGGGGAUCCCCCAGAGUUAUUCGAAAAAAAUAUGUAGAGCAAAAAAUGCUAGGAUUGAAAAAGGCAAUUCUCGAGAGAGAGCAACCGGGGAUACACAGAACGCGGAUCAGAAAAUACCCGGAGCCAAAAGCUAGGAGCAAAACAACAUGGGGGAGGGGGGUGUGUGGAAUGUGGGGAAUAUAAAAUCAGAAUGCACCAAUGUAUCGAUAAUCUCUGAUUCUGAACCUGCGCUUCCGCUCCACUAAAUCCUAGAUUAUGGAUGCGAAAUAGAAAACCAUGGGUGGGGUGAGCAACUAAUGUGCACAAAAAAUUACUCGAAAAGAAAGAGGAAAACAGGGGGGGGGGGGGCGGGGGAGCGAAGGGGCAACUAACAACAACUAAUCUCGCGCAGCACAAUCUCCAAAUAUGUGCUUCCAGCCCACAUCACCCACCACGAAUAACCCCCCUCGUUUGAAUCCAAAUACACAUCGCAGAUGAGGGACACUAGAAAACAAUCCACGGAACGCAGAAAAUCAGAUGAGAACGCGAAGGUGCAUGAACUCACCUGGUCUGAUUGCAGCUUCCAGUCCCCCUCCUCAUAACCUGCGGAUGCCUCGCCGCAUUCCAGAAGCGCACGCCGAUAACCUCCACCAAAAAACAAAAUAAAAAAUGAUGAAAACUAGGCGCGACGCAAGCAGGGGACCCCUCACCUGGUGUGUGAUUUACGUUUCCAAUCGCUCCCUCGGAUCUUCCUCCGCCGCAUCCAAAAAAUAAUGAAGAGAAAUUAUCUCAAAACCGUAUAGUAGCUUACAUCUAUUAUUCUAUUAUAUUAAUAAGCGAGGUUUAAAAGAAGCCACCAUAUUUGCCGAGAGGAUCUAGAAAUUUCCAAGUUAAUCUAAAAAAGAGAAGGAUUUGCACUAUCAGAUUUUAACGGUCUAAAAUAACUUAAGAGCCCAUAUCAAAUAUGAUUAAUAAAUAGCUAAUUUCGGAAUUAAAAUACUGAGAAAAAUUAGGAACGAAAGAGUUCAUGCCGAAUACGAUUAGUAAAUAUCUAAAUUUAAAAUUAGAAAAUAAGGAAAUUAGCAGUUGACCAAAGAAUUUAUGGGGAAUACGAUUAAUAAAUAGGUAAAAUUUCAGAAUUAUCAUGAAAGAUACAUGUGUUAUUCAAGUUGGCAUCUUCACCCGUCUGCCCUCCUGCUGCUUGGCCAUCCACCAGCAGACUGUUCAUGUCGCCUUGAUUGCCUUUCCAGAGUUCACGCAUCCAUAUAUACCUAUGGUUUGUGCUGCGCUUGCCUUGCACCAUGGCAAACAGGUUCCCUCCCGUGAGAGUGUUCGCUGGGGCAAGGAGGGAGCUCCGGCACACUUCACUUCAUGGGCUCCCGUACUUGCUCGAUUGAGAGUUGCUCGGUUCAAGUUACAGGUGUCAUGGCCUGUUAUAGGAUUCAGGAUCUCGGGCUCUCGGCUGCAAUGAGUGCUAGGUGGCUGGCAGAUUGUUGCUGCUGCUGUUUGCAUUGAUGAUCAUCGGAGUAGAUUGGAAGCAUUAGACAAAGCAAGCAAGGCAGCUUCAUAUCAGUACAACAAAAGGAAAAAGUAACGGCACCCUCCAUGCAAACACAACUUGAUACAAUCAUGUUUGCCUCUCCUGCAAUGCAUGCAACGCUGAACAAGGACAAUAUGUGUUGUUCAACCGAUAAUGUGAGCCUGAUGUGCUCAUAUUGUUGCUAUUAAUCUCGAUUUCAUGUGUAUGUGGGCUCGAGAGACAUUGAUUUCGGUGGUGAUUGAUAAACAGCUCAAUUUCGACCCAAUAACCUAGAUGCUACACUUUGUGGCGAGAGAGAGAUUGAAGAGAAACAUCAUAUAGAGAGAAGGUGGGAGAAUCUUUCUUGCACAAAGGUCAAAAACGCAGUAUGAGGGUGGUAUAUUGGUAGAGUCUAAAAAUUUAGCUAGACAUUUUAAGGAUCGUAUUAGAAUUGGGCUUAUAUUUUAUACAUUUUUGAGCUUAAAAUGAUUAAGAGUUGAAUUCGAUUGUGAUUGGGGUAUUAGGAUCAUGCUCCAUUACCAUGCUAUAUAUGGGGUAGACAAAGAGCCCAUACAAAACACAAUUGAUCCAUUACCACGAACCGACUGGAAAUUAUUGAACCGAGUUAUCGUAUUAUUGAAUCACAUUCAGUAAGACAUUGUCAGUAAUCGUAGCAGUAGUUAUUACUGGAAUUUUUUCCGGAAAUUUUACAUAUAGCUACACCUAAGAUGUAGAGUAACAUAUAUAAGUAUACCUAAGGUGUAGAGUAACAUAUAUAAGUAUAGAUUUAAUUAAAGAGAAACAAUAUAAUGAUAGAAAAAUAUAAUGAUAGAAAAAGACAAAUAAUGAAAUCGGCACCAAGAAUAUAAUAAUAGAGGUACCACAAAUGAUGAAAUUUAACCAGAUAAUAAUAUAGCAUCCUUUGCCCAUUUAAAAUUAUGAUGGGAAAAGAAAAGGAUUCACUCCACCAAAAAACCAAACGGAGUGUGGUAUAUCAUCUCGCCGCCAUGCAUCAUCACAUCUUAUAUAUUUGUUUCCAUACCAUCUCUCACCUCAAGCCACCUCAUACUGAGAUAUCAAAUUUGAGCGGCAUUGCUGUUGGCACCAUCAACACAGAGAAGAGCGCUUCUCUAACCGCCUACAAAGGAGAAUGACUCUAGAGCAGGCAGCCCAAAAAGAAUAAUACUAGAGAUUUAGAAAUUUGCAUGCUAAUUAAUGUGAAAAAGAAAGCUUUUUAUCUUUUUGGUAAAUUAAUUGCAUCAACACUAGAGAGCCCAUAAGUAUAAACAAAAGUUUAGACUAAAAAGAAGUAAAGAAAACCAAUCAAUGUUGUUAUAUUAUAUAGAGUUGUUAGUAGGUUUAACUUAAGUUACUACAAAAGCAACAUCUGGUGUAGGCUUGGAAUGAAAAAAAAUAUAAUAUAGGGGUGUCUGGAUUGGCUAAAAUAGGAGCGCUAAUUUAUCCAUAGGUGCCCUAAUGGGCUAAAUAUGGAGUUUAGCCAUAAUUAGGACUAACCAGGACUAACGGGCUCUAACAACCAACUAAACAUUAUUGUGCAAUUAGAUUACCAAUUAGCCCAUAUUUGGCCCUCUUAUUUGGCAUCCAAAUAACAGAGCUAAAGUUUAACUCUGAAAUCCAAACACCCCCUUAAUACUUAAGUGUUAAAUGAAUCCAAUACUUGCUUAUGGGUUUAUAAAUUACCACAAUAAUAGGUCAAAAACUAUAAAUAUCUCAACCAUUUAUCUUAGUGGAUUCAUGUCAUAGCGGAUCUAUUUUCCAUGAUAAAGGGUAAACUAAAAGCAUCUCAGGAUGACACACCUAUAACUAUUACUUUAAAGGCAUAGUAUAUAAGUGCCACGGUGAAUUAGUGUUUGUAGAAUCAUCAAGGUGCAAUGAGGGGAGUCGAGGAGAUCCGCUGUCCUAAAUUUCUAGCACCAGUCUAGAGAAAGAUCAGUGGAGCAAAUGUGACAAACGGAAUACAAUAGAUGAAUCAGCUAGCAGGAGGUAGAGAGGCUUCCUAGCUACAUGAGGACGCACGAGGCAUUGGUACACAUUAGUGAAAUAAUUUUAGAAGUAAAGGCUUUUCGUGAAACCAUAGAAACAGUAAGUGAAAUAGAAAACUAUGAAACAAUUAAAAACUAAAGAUAUAGUGAGUCCAAGAAGACAAUAGAAUUUAGUGAAAUUAGCAUCCUGAUUUUCAUACAAGUUUAUAAUUAAAAUAAUCAAGAGUGUAUGUCAAAUACAUAAAAAUAACUCCCAGAGUUUAUAAACAAGUUAAGAAAAUCUAUAUAUUUUCAUACAUAUUUUUUAUGAGACUAUUUUCAUAGAUUUCGGGAAGAAAAAGACGUAAACAAAUGACUUCUGUAAAAUCUAAUUCAUAAUAACUAAAUGUUUAGACAAAAAAUGGAAUAAAGAAUCAAAUACAAUAUUAGGAAAAGGGACACUAGCGAGCAAAGGAGGAUUGAAGGAAUUAUAACAUAAUCCCUACUCUCAGUUUUUUGCUCUUAAUUUCAUAAUUUAUCCAAUAAGGAUUGAUCAGCCAAGAGUAUGUAGAAGCACCAUCAAAAUAAUGCAUAUGCAUUUAAACAAUAUCUAUACAUAGAUAUUCCCUUUUAUCAUGUAUAUGUUUUGCACAAUGAAAUAAGAUGAUAAAAAAAUGUGAUAUCUUAAACUAGGUUAUUUGGACAGAAUAAUGACAAUGAAACAGCAAAACAAAAUCACUUGAAUACAUUUAAUUUUAAGUUAAAAGGAUCCCAAAUAUUAUCUUAAAAAAAGCUAGCUAACCGCGCUAGUUUGCACGGACCACCUUGCUAGUUUGUUAAACAAUGGGUACGGAUAGUUAAAGCUUAAACCAUACUUAUCAUUUUAAAUUAGACAAAAGUAUACUAUUUGUGCUUCCUCUGUCCGUAAAGGCGAGAUGCGUAGAUACAUCUCGUCACAAAAGUUGAGAUGCAAAACUUGUCUUUUCUUUCUAAAAUGUUAUUUUAUAUUUUUUUCGAGAACGUGCAGAAGAUUUAUAUUUUUAUGGCACAUGCACCUAAAAUUGAGUUUGCAUUCCAGUUUGUCAUCUUUGCAUCACCAUUUGUCAAAAGUACUCGCGUCCUACCUACCCAAACGACCAAGGCGCAGAAUGACACCAGAGGCUUGCCGUUGCCUUGCCUUAUCACUAGCACUCGAGGUAGUGGCACAGAGCAGGUCCCCAAUCCGGCAAUCCCCAUAACCAUUGGAGUCUGCAUCAUCAUGUGAACUCUGGCAUGAAAGCAGGCGUAGUAGAUGGUGAAAAAGCAGGCUUGGUUUCGGGGCGGUGGUCGAUAUUGGCAAUCAGCUGAUCCUGGGUCUCGCUACGAUGUGAGAGCAAACAGAUGUGAGAUCAGCAAAUUUGAAGAUGUGAGAUCAGACAUCUUCAAAUUUGCUGGACUUCGAGCGCCGUUCGUUCACGCGUCGGCUCCAGGGCUCCAGGCGCCCUCGGCUACACACUCGGCCCUCAGCGCGCGUUCGUAUCCCGCAACACAUGCGUGUUCUCGCGUGCUGCGCGCUCGACAUGGCUCUCCCGUCACGCGGCCCCAGCGUGCUCCUGCAGCUCCUCCUCGCCGGCCUCGCGCUCGCGGCGGCCUUCAGCUGCGCGGACACGGCCCGAGCCCCCGCGGCCCAUGAGGAAGGCAAAGCCACGGCCCCUGAGGUCAGCGACGCCCUGCCGGUCGAGCUCCCGCACGUCGACGUCAUCGACAAAUUCGGCGGAGGCCAUGGUGGUGGCGGGGGCGGCGGCGGUCACGCCGGCGGAGGAGGCGGUGGUCACGCUAGCGGAGAAGGCGGCCGCGCUCACUCUAGCGGAGCGGGAAGAGGCGGCGCCGGCCCCGGUGCCGGCGCGAGGGCCGCCGCCGCGGGAGCAGCGACAGGCAACCGGCGUCGCAGCGCCGCGGCCGGCGCGAGCGAGCGUGGCGCGUGGAAGGCUGCCGGCGCCGGCGCCGCCCUCGCCGCCGCGCUCAUCGCCGUCUGCAGGUGAAGAACCGCAGCUGCUGAUCGCGCGCCGCGCUCGUCGUAGUAUAUAGCUUGGUACGGUGCCAUGGUUUGGCAGAAGUACUAUAGCAGAUCCUGGUGGAGUAGUUGUGAUCGCGUAUCGUGUAUAUAUGAGUAUAUAUAUCGAGUCCCUGUCAUCACGUACUACCAAGAAACUAGCAGAACUCAUCAGCAAGGCUCUACAUUGCCUGGGCUGCUGCGUUUGGGGUUGUUAACUUGUCAGUUGUACCACGAUAUAUCAUAGAUGCCACCGUCGUCGCUCAUGAUGUGCGACCUUUUCCUUUCACUAGCCAGCCGUGGUCUUGCUUGGGAGAAGCAGCUCGAGCUCACGGGUGACGGGGCACUAGGCGCUCAUCAGUUUG
rnacentral:lncRNA from 1 species